ACACACAAUCCAAGUAAGAACAAAAUAAAUAAAAAGUAAAUAAAAACUAAAGUUCGAUGAUAAUUUAGAAGAAAACUUAAAAAAAAACGAAAUUGAGAUAAUGAUAAUAUUUCAUUGGUUUACUUGAUCAAUAUAUACAUUGAGUUAUCUUAAUAUUUCAUAAGUUUACUUCUAAUAAAAGAAUUAAUAGAUAAUGAUAGUUUUAUUAUUAAAGUUAAUUUAUGGUUAAUUACAUAAUGAAAAAUCUAAUUAUUCAUUAAAAAUAUAUCUAUUUUAGCUGUUUUAGAAACUAAAUCGUUAAACACAUGUUCAUAACAUGAUUACAUAGGCAACUCUCUAAACUUAAUAUCAAAGCAUAUUUUUCUUAUAGAUUAAACAAUAAUAAAACAUACACGUGAAAUAACUACUGAAAGUACAUAAAUAUAGAUGUCAAAAACUAUAAUCGAGACAACUUGGAAUGAAUGAAAAAAAUGAAAGUAUAGAGUUUAAAACAUCUUACAUCAUGUGAAAAUAAAAAUUGGUCCUAACUUGUUUAAAAUAAUUAUAAUUGUAAUUCCAAUUAGAAAUUUUGAAAUAGUUAUGUUAUUUAAAUUAAUAAAUUAAUAAUUUAAUCUAAAUCCUAGUAAGAAUCUUGUGAAAUUUAAAAUAAUUAUAAUCAUAAUUCCAAUUAGAAAUUUCGAAAUAGUUUAUUAUUUAAAUUAAUAAAUUAAUAAAUUAAUUAGAAAUCGAAAUAUUUAUAUUAUCUAAAUUAAUAAAUUGAUGAUUUAAUCUAAAAACUACUAAGAAUAUGACAAAUAAGCAAAAGCUAAAAUCAUGGAGAAUUUAAAUUAAUAAAUUAAUUAGAAAUCAAAAUAUUUAUAUUAUCUAAAUUAAUAAAUUGAUGAUUUAAUCUAAAAACUACUAAGAAUAUGACAAAUAAGCAAAAUUAGCUAAAAUGAUGGAGAAUGAGACAAAUCAGCAAAAUCACUUCAUAAAUAAUAGUAUAGAUAAUGGAAACCAAAAAGUAGAAAAUAAUUAAAGUGGAACAAAAAAACUUGAUGAAGGUGGAAAUUAAAAGAUAAAAGGAUAACAAAGGGUUGAAAAACAAAACACAUUGCUCUCAACUUUGAGAGAGAGAGAGAGAACAUAUUCUUCAUAGCAACUAGAGGAAGGAUCCAAAGGGAUCGCAUUGAUCCUAAGUCGAGUGAAUUCUCCUUAAUAUUUUCUUAAUUAUUGGCAAAAAAUUCCAAUAUUUUGCUUGGUUUUGGAUCAUGCUAUCCCUUUCGAUUCAUCCUUCGGUAGCUUCAUCUUCGAUCAAACGGUUAUAGUAGACUCUUCACUGGAGAUUUUGUUUGGCUUAACAAAUCUGCGACGCUUUGGUCUCAAGCCAACAACAACAAUCUUGGAAACUCUCUUCUUACAAGUAAGUUUCAAAGACUCUUCUUGAGUCUUGACCAAAGCGAAUCAUGCCAAAAAUUGAAGACCUACCUGUUUUUUGUCUUUUUUUAUUUGGAUCGAAUUUCCAAUUUACCAUAGCGGAAAAUCUUAAUUGAUUAGUUAUCAAAUAUUACUGUAUAUGUUGAUAUAUAUGAAAUAUAGCACUUGAAGUUACUUUUAACUGGUUUAAACUUUCUGAAAAUACCUACAUGGCCAUUUCUGAAAACUAUUUUUUCAGUUAAAUACCAUAUAUAUAUAAUUGGUGCAUAUUGGUGUAUAUAUAUUUGUGCAUCUUUCAUAUCAGUUAUUUCCUUAAAUAUAUGGUAACUUUAUAUUCAUUCGAGAUUACUUUCUACACAUGCUUACUAGUUUGAAAUCCCAAGUCCCAAAGUCUCGUUGGAUCCCGUUAAAUUAAAUCAAGUAGGACUUGGAGUAGAGGUGUACAUAUGUUCACAGGAAAAGGACUUGGACCAUUUUAACUUUACCCAACUUAAUAGAAUUCCAAACUGAAAAAGAAUAAAAAACUUAAACAACGAAUCCAAAGGAAAAAACGAAGAUAAACACUGAACCUAACUACAACGCAUAUAAAUGUAUAUUAAAAACAGAAAUCAGGACAAAUCUUCAUCGCAAAGUACAACGAGUUACAGACUAAUCUUACUUAGUUAACAACAAAAAGUAUAUAUUACAUUUUACUUUAUAGUUUUUCUUCAAUUAAACGCAAAUAUAUCCCAGUGUGAAUAGAAUGUCAUUCGGAAAAUUGAUUUGUGGCAGGUUUAGAAAUAGUUUGAAGAAAAAUUUAUGGUUAAUUAACAUCAUUGUGUUUUUGUCUGAAGAAAGUCAGGACUAUCUGAAAAUAACAGCCACGAUCAUAACCUGAGGACAUCAUCAUUAGUAAGAUGGUUGACUUUCAAACAUGAAUACGCAUAUCAUACACACAUUAUGCAUAUCUUUAUUAUUAUUUCCUUCUUACAAUCAUUUUUCUCCCCACUGUAAUGUGUGAAAGAAGAAAAGAGCGGAAAAAUAUCUAAAGAAAUCAAAUUGAACUAAGAAGAAAAGGAACAGAAUCAUGACAUUGAAUUUGAUGUUGUUUACGUGCAAAAGAUUUUGGUGGACCGGCAGAUAUGGAAGAAAGGACGAUGUAUUUCUUCAUCUGCGAGAUUUGAAAUUACAUUGUCUCCUUCUUUCCCNNNNNNNNNNNNNNNNNNNNNNNNNNNNNNNNNNNNNNNNNNNNNNNNNNNNNNNNNNNNNNNNNNNNNNNNNNNNNNNNNNNNNNNNNNNNNNNNNNNNNNNNNNNNNNNNNNNNNNNNNNNNNNNNNNNNNNNNNNNNNNNNNNNNNNNNNNNNNNNNNNNNNNNNNNNNNNNNNNNNNNNNNNNNNNNNNNNNNNNNNNNNNNNNNNNNNNNNNNNNNNNNNNNNNNNNNNNNNNNNNNNNNNNNNNNNNNNNNNNNNNNNNNNNNNNNNNNNNNNNNNNNNNNNNNNNNNNNNNNNNNNNNNNNNNNNNNNNNNNNNNNNNNNNNNNNNNNNNNNNNNNNNNNNNNNNNNNNNNNNNNNNNNNNNNNNNNNNNNNNNNNNNNNNNNNNNNNNNNNNNNNNNNNNNNNNNNNNNNNNNNNNNNNNNNNNNNNNNNNNNNNNNNNNNNNNNNNNNNNNNNNNNNNNNNNNNNNNNNNNNNNNNNNNNNNNNNNNNNNNNNNNNNNNNNNNNNNNNNNNNNNNNNNNNNNNNNNNNNNNNNNNNNNNNNNNNNNNNNNNNNNNNNNNNNNNNNNNNNNNNNNNNNNNNNNNNNNNNNNNNNNNNNNNNNNNNNNNNNNNNNNNNNNNNNNNNNNNNNNNNNNNNNNNNNNNNNNNNNNNNNNNNNNNNNNNNNNNNNNNNNNNNNNNNNNNNNNNNNNNNNNNNNNNNNNNNNNNNNNNNNNNNNNNNNNNNNNNNNNNNNNNNNNNNNNNNNNNNNNNNNNNNNNNNNNNNNNNNNNNNNNNNNNNNNNNNNNNNNNNNNNNNNNNNNNNNNNNNNNNNNNNNNNNNNNNNNNNNNNNNNNNNNNNNNNNNNNNNNNNNNNNNNNNNNNNNNNNNNNNNNNNNNNNNNNNNNNNNNNNNNNNNNNNNNNNNNNNNNNNNNNNNNNNNNNNNNNNNNNNNNNNNNNNNNNNNNNNNNNNNNNNNNNNNNNNNNNNNNNNNNNNNNNNNNNNNNNNNNNNNNNNNNNNNNNNNNNNNNNNNNNNNNNNNNNNNNNNNNNNNNNNNNNNNNNNNNNNNNNNNNNNNNNNNNNNNNNNNNNNNNNNNNNNNNNNNNNNNNNNNNNNNNNNNNNNNNNNNNNNNNNNNNNNNNNNNNNNNNNNNNNNNNNNNNNNNNNNNNNNNNNNNNNNNNNNNNNNNNNNNNNNNNNNNNNNNNNNNNNNNNNNNNNNNNNNNNNNNNNNNNNNNNNNNNNNNNNNNNNNNNNNNNNNNNNNNNNNNNNNNNNNNNNNNNNNNNNNNNNNNNNNNNNNNNNNNNNNNNNNNNNNNNNNNNNNNNNNNNNNNNNNNNNNNNNNNNNNNNNNNNNNNNNNNNNNNNNNNNNNNNNNNNNNNNNNNNNNNNNNNNNNNNNNNNNNNNNNNNNNNNNNNNNNNNNNNNNNNNNNNNNNNNNNNNNNNNNNNNNNNNNNNNNNNNNNNNNNNNNNNNNNNNNNNNNNNNNNNNNNNNNNNNNNNNNNNNNNNNNNNNNNNNNNNNNNNNNNNNNNNNNNNNNNNNNNNNNNNNNNNNNNNNNNNNNNNNNNNNNNNNNNNNNNNNNNNNNNNNNNNNNNNNNNNNNNNNNNNNNNNNNNNNNNNNNNNNNNNNNNNNNNNNNNNNNNNNNNNNNNNNNNNNNNNNNNNNNNNNNNNNNNNNNNNNNNNNNNNNNNNNNNNNNNNNNNNNNNNNNNNNNNNNNNNNNNNNNNNNNNNNNNNNNNNNNNNNNNNNNNNNNNNNNNNNNNNNNNNNNNNNNNNNNNNNNNNNNNNNNNNNNNNNNNNNNNNNNNNNNNNNNNNNNNNNNNNNNNNNNNNNNNNNNNNNNNNNNNNNNNNNNNNNNNNNNNNNNNNNNNNNNNNNNNNNNNNNNNNNNNNNNNNNNNNNNNNNNNNNNNNNNNNNNNNNNNNNNNNNNNNNNNNNNNNNNNNNNNNNNNNNAGUGAUCAGACACAAUUCAUAAAAGCUUUUUUUGUCCAAAACAAAGCUAAACAACUAAAACUCAAGUUACAGAAGUUACCAAAUGCUUGAUAUAACAGAGUAUUUACAGUCAAUCAGGGAAAAAGCUUUGCAAUCACAAGUUCAAACAAAGUUACAGACUGUUUCAAACAAGUGCUUAGUUGACUAACAGAAAGUUCACAAAGAGCUAAAACGUUCUUUCCAAAGAAGAGACAAUCUCAAUUCUACAACAAUCCAUCAGUUCAAAAAGCUUUAUCAUCUCGCCAUUAGCUUAAAAGAAUCACAGUAUCACAAGACAGCAAGAUACAGUUUACUAGUAGUCUAGUAUCAUAAAGAUCAUAACAUCAGUCUCAGAUUUUCAACAAACCCAGAAACUCUAGAGAUCGAUUUCAACAAACCCAGAACAAAACUAGAAGAACGUACCUCACAGAAUGCUUAUUGGAGAAGACGGAUACAACCCCGACGACGCUCUUCGAAAUCGAUCUCUAGGGUUGGUGUGUUCGUUGAAAUCAAUCCAGGAGCAGCAGAACUUGAUGAGGACGUCGUGUUAUCGGAUUUGAAUUUGAGCAGCUUCGUUCAGAUUCUAGGGUUCACGUUGCGAUCCUCUUUGUUUCUCUCUUUUCUGGUUUCUGGAAAAAAGAGACGGCCUUGAAGAAAAAUCAAAACUACGUCUCGGUUAAGAUUCUCAAUUCAGAUACUUACUAAUAAUUAGUAAUAUAUGUAUUAUAAUUUAAAAAAUCAUAAUAACUUAUUUUUAUAUUCUUAAUCAUUUUAAUUCUCUUCGAUUUUUAUUUCGAUCUAAUUCUUUUUAACACAAAGGAAAGCUAUAAAACUAUGAGAGGAUAAAAACAUAAUUACAUAUCAAAUAUUCCACCCAAUAAAGUAAAGUAAGAAUGUGAACUUUUGAUCUCUCUCAAUCUACUUUGUAUUUUUGAACCAUAAACAUGAAUUAACUUACCAAAAACAAACAUUAAAACACACAAAAUCCAAAUAAGAACAAAAUAAAUAAAAACUAAAGUUUGAUGAUAAUUUUGAAGAUUUUUUUUUAAAACAAAUUGAGAUAAUAACAAAUUUCAUUGGUUUACUUGAUCAAUAUAUACAUUGACUUAUCUUAAUAUUUUAUAAGUUUAAUUUUAAUAAAAGAAACAAUAAAUAAUGAUAGUUUUAUUAUUAAAGUUAAUUUAUGGUUAAUUAUAUAAUGAUAAAUCUAAUUAUUCAUUAAAAAUAUAUUUACUUUUAUUUGUUUUAGAAACUAAACCAUUAAAGACAUGUUUAUAACAUGAUUACAUAAAUUCUCUAAAUUUAAUAUCAAAGAAUAUUAUUCUUACAGAUUAAACAGUAAUAAAACAUAUACGUGAAAUAACUACUGAAGUAAUUCGGAAUACCUAAUUCCUAAUUCCAAAUUCCAUGUAACAAAAAUGAUUUGCUCCUAGUAUUUCAGACUCAAAGAAAGAAGAAAAACAUAGAACUUCAACUAUAAAAAAAAAAAUAUCAAAAGUGCAUAAAUAUAGAUGUCAAAAACUAUAAUCGAGACAACUUGGAAUGAAUGAAAAAAUGAAACUAUAGAGUUUAAAACAUCUUACAUCAUAUGAAAAUAAUAAUUGGUCCUAACUUGUUUAAAAUAAUUAUAAUUGUAAUUCCAAUUAGAAAUUUUGAAAUAGUUAUGUUAUUUAAAUUAAUAAAUUAAUAAUUUAAUCUAAAUCCUAGUAAGAAUCUUGUGAAAUUUAAAAUAAUUAUAAUCAUAAUUCCAAUUAGAAAUUUCGAAAUAGUUUAUUAUUUAAAUUAAUAAAUUAAUAAAUUAAUUAGAAAUCGAAAUAUUUAUAUUAUCUAAAUUAAUAAAUUGAUGAUUUAAUCUAAAAACUACUAAGAAUAUGACAAAUAAGCAAAAGCUAAAAUCAUGGAGAAUUUAAAUUAAUAAAUUAAUUAGAAAUCAAAAUAUUUAUAUUAUCUAAAUUAAUAAAUUGAUGAUUUAAUCUAAAAACUACUAAGAAUAUGACAAAUAAGCAAAAUUAGCUAAAAUGAUGGAGAAUGAGACAAAUCAGCAAAAUCACUUCAUAAAUAAUAGUAUAGAUAAUGGAAACCAAAAAGUAGAAAAUAAUUAAAGUGGAACAAAAAAACUUGAUGAAGGUGGAAAUUAAAAGAUAAAAGGAUAACAAAGGGUUGAAAAACAAAACACAUUGCUCUCAACUUUGAGAGAGAGAGAGAGAACAUAUUCUUCAUAGCAACUAGAGGAAGGAUCCAAAGGGAUCGCAUUGAUCCUAAGUCGAGUGAAUUCUCCUUAAUAUUUUCUUAAUUAUUGGCAAAAAAUUCCAAUAUUUUGCUUGGUUUUGGAUCAUGCUAUCCCUUUCGAUUCAUCCUUCGGUAGCUUCAUCUUCGAUCAAACGGUUAUAGUAGACUCUUCACUGGAGAUUUUGUUUGGCUUAACAAAUCUGCGACGCUUUGGUCUCAAGCCAACAACAACAAUCUUGGAAACUCUCUUCUUACAAGUAAGUUUCAAAGACUCUUCUUGAGUCUUGACCAAAGCGAAUCAUGCCAAAAAUUGAAGACCUACCUGUUUUUUGUCUUUUUUUAUUUGGAUCGAAUUUCCAAUUUACCAUAGCGGAAAAUCUUAAUUGAUUAGUUAUCAAAUAUUACUGUAUAUGUUGAUAUAUAUGAAAUAUAGCACUUGAAGUUACUUUUAACUGGUUUAAACUUUCUGAAAAUACCUACAUGGCCAUUUCUGAAAACUAUUUUUUCAGUUAAAUACCAUAUAUAUAUAAUUGGUGCAUAUUGGUGUAUAUAUAUUUGUGCAUCUUUCAUAUCAGUUAUUUCCUUAAAUAUAUGGUAACUUUAUAUUCAUUCGAGAUUACUUUCUACACAUGCUUACUAGUUUGAAAUCCCAAGUCCCAAAGUCUCGUUGGAUCCCGUUAAAUUAAAUCAAGUAGGACUUGGAGUAGAGGUGUACAUAUGUUCACAUGAAAAGGACUUGGACCAUUUUAACUUUACCCAACUUAAUAGAAUUCCAAACUGAAAAAGAAUAAAAAACUUAAACAACGAAUCCAAAGGAAAAAACGAAGAUAAACACUGAACCUAACUACAACGCAUAUAAAUGUAUAUUAAAAACAGAAAUCAGGACAAAUCUUCAUCGCAAAGUACAACGAGUUACAGACUAAUCUUACUUAGUUAACAACAAAAAGUAUAUAUUACAUUUUACUUUAUAGUUUUUCUUCAAUUAAACGCAAAUAUAUCCCAGUGUGAAUAGAAUGUCAUUCGGAAAAUUGAUUUGUGGCAGGUUUAGAAAUAGUUUGAAGAAAAAUUUAUGGUUAAUUAACAUCAUUGUGUUUUUGUCUGAAGAAAGUCAGGACUAUCUGAAAAUAACAGCCACGAUCAUAACCUGAGGACAUCAUCAUUAGUAAGAUGGUUGACUUUCAAACAUGAAUACGCAUAUCAUACACACAUUAUGCAUAUCUUUAUUAUUAUUUCCUUCUUACAAUCAUUUUUCUCCCCACUGUAAUGUGUGAAAGAAGAAAAGAGCGGAAAAAUAUCUAAAGAAAUCAAAUUGAACUAAGAAGAAAAGGAACAGAAUCAUGACAUUGAAUUUGAUGUUGUUUACGUGCAAAAGAUUUUUAUUUGUGGCAGGUUUAGAAAUACUUUGAAGAAAAAUUUAUGGUUAAUUAACAUCAUUGUGUUUUUGUCUGAAGAAAGUCCGGACUAUCUGAAAAUAACAGCCACGAUCAUAACCUGAGGACAUCAUCAUUAGUAAGAUGGUUGACUUUCAAACAUGAAUACGCAUAUCAUACACACAUUAUGCAUAUCUUUAUUAUUAUUUCCUUCUUACAAUCAUUUUUCUCCCCACUGUAAUGUGUGAAAGAAGAAAAGAGCGGAAAAAUAUCUAAAGAAAUCAAAUUGAACUAAGAAGAAAAGGAACAGAAUCAUGACAUUGAAUUUGAUGUUGUUUACGUGCAAAAGAUUUUGGUGGACCGGCAGAUAUGGAAGAAAGGACGAUGUAUUUCUUCAUCUGCGAGGUUUGAAAUUACAUUGUCUCCUUCUUUCCCUUCACUUAAUUUGCUAUUUACGUAUGCUUACAGUCAUCUCAAUGACACUCAAAGUUUUAUAACUUUUUUAUUUGUAUCUUUAUAUUUUUUGGGUAAUUUGUAAAUUCUAUUGUCUCAUUGUUGGAUCCCCGCGUAGUUGCUUGAGUUCAUCGUGUCUUCGUGGGUUCAGCUUUAAAAAGGCAGGUAGUGAUACGCUUAGUUAGGCCACCUUUCAAGCCCAUGAAUGUAAACAUAUGUAGUAACUGUGACUAGUGGCAACGGCUCCACAAGUGCCGCUCUCCUGCUGCCGCAAAAGCAUCACACGUGGUUUAUCUUAAUCCAGCUUGGACCAACUUGCAAAUCAAACCACUAGAUUCUGCUCUGGUCUUCAUGGUUCGGCGAAUCGGUGUGACGAGCCAGAUUGAACCAUUGGGGAGGAGAUAAAUCAUUAAUAUCUUAUCUCUCAUAUCAAUUAUUCUUCUUAUGAAUAUCUUAAAUAUUUUAUAUCAAUUAUUGUUCUUAUGAACCUCCAUGGGUCAAGUUUUUUUUUACCAAAAUUAUACUCCUACCAAGAUAAAGAUGGCCAAAAAAAGAAAAAAGAUAGCCAAAAAAUGUUAUAUUUUGCUUAUAGGAAUAAAAAAGAUACUGGGCUUUGCUAUAAAGUGUCCUUGAAAUUAAUUGCGUCCACAACACUAAGGCUUCUUUAUCGUCCAUUAUUAAGGCACUACAAAGCAUAAGGGAUAUAACGAUAUAUACUUAUUCCUGAUCAUUUGUUUGGUAACUACUAAUUCCUUCUUCUUUAUUCCUUCCAACUCUCAUUUAACAUACAUAUAUACGUUUGAGGAAGGUUGUUUUGUAUACCUGUAAACUUAAUAUCUAAAACGUGUACCUCAAGCAACCGCCCGAGGAUCAAACAAUGUCAAUUCGCUGAAUUUAAAAAUGAAGGAAUACAGGUUUUUGUAACCUUCAAAAUGGGCUUUUGUGUCAUGGUCAGUGAUUGGCAUCUUGGUCAUGGAGAACGCAUAAAAUUUGAGUUGGGACUUGGGAGAAUAGUUGGUACUUCCAAGUGGUUUAAGAUUUGUUGGAAGUUGUGCCCUUCUGCCAUUAACUUCAGCCAAUAGCUAGAUUGCAUGGCCCCAGUCAACUUGCUCUGGAGAACGUGUGUAUAUUUAUAUAAUUUCGAUGAAAACUCAAAUAUUGUUUUUUUUUUCUCUCUCUAAUAUAGAAGAACUACCAAUUUUUUACUUUUGUUUUAAAAUAACUUUGAAUUUAGAUAAAAAAAAAAUUGAAUAUAAAAUGUAUUGAAGUUCUAGACAUUACAGUGAACAUUUAAUAAUUUUGUUCUUACUAAAGAAGACCCAUAAUGUCAAGGAAAGUAUUUUCUGAAAGGAUAAUUUUUUGUAAAUAUAUUUAUUUAGUUUUUUAUUUAUAAAUCUGGCCAUUCUUAUGCAAAAACAAAAAUUCAGACGAGAGAGACUUGAGACCUCAAAGGCUCACAAGACCACCCACCAAAUGCGUUAGUAUAAUGUUAUGUCCAGCUUUUCUUCAUCGGUCUCUCCUUUCUUUGACUGAAUUAGAUUCUAUCUUGUUUUCAGUGAAGGAGAGAAAAAUUCGCUUAAAAAAAGACAGAUUCUAUAUAAAUCAGAAAAGCUGGCUUUCUCAAAACUCCUUCAUGUAGUUGAGGAAGGAGGAGGAGAAGAAGAAAGGCAAAGGCUCUUAGCUGCAGAUACACAAGAGCCCUUUGUCGUAACGACCAUGAACGCCACCGAAGCUAUGAAUCGCAAAGUUAAUGUCAGAGGAGACGAUGUUGAUAUCGAAAUCCCUGACACUGCUCAUCAAAUUAGCAGCGGUUUGUAAAUUCAUUUUCCCCUCCUUUGUUUUGUUAUUUUUUUGCAAGCAUCCAAUAUUUUUACUUUUAAUCUUUUACCACGAAAAAUGUUUUCACCACAAAGAGUAAAUUAACCUAAUAUAAAAACCCAAAUUCUAAAAAUCUGUUUAUACUGCACCUAGAAACAUUUUACAACCAUAUAUGUUUGUUUGGGAAAUUUUUGCUUUGUCAAACUCUGUUUUUAGUAAUCUGAGAUCACAUUUUGGGGUUUAGCUUAAACCUGUUCUUGUGGAAUGGUACAGAUUCAUGGUUUCAGGUGGCGUUCGUUCUGACAACCGGUAUAAACAGCGCGUAUGUGUUGGGAUAUUCAGGAACAGUAAUGGUUCCUUUAGGUUGGGUUGGUGGUGUGGUUGGUCUUCUUCUCGCUACUGUAAUCUCUCUCUAUGCAAAUACUCUCGUAGCCAAGCUUCAUGAGUUUGGUGGCAAGAGACACAUUCGUUAUAGAGACCUUGCUGGAUUCAUUUACGGUACAAAAAAAAAAAACACCAAACCACCUCUCUUAUAUUUUCUCUGUUGUCACAUUCAUUGAAAUGUUUUGAUCAGGUAGAAAGGCUUAUCACCUUACAUGGGGAUUGCAGUAUGUUAAUCUUUUCAUGAUUAACUGUGGAUUUAUCAUACUAGCUGGCUCUGCCCUGAAGGUAGUUAAAACAUCUUGAUUCUUGAUUAUUAAUUCUUGAAUUUUGAUUCCUUGUGAGCCAAGUUAGUUAUUUUGGAGUGUGUUUUGUUUCUACAGGCUGUUUAUGUGCUUUUCAGGGAUGAUCAUACUAUCAAGUUACCUCACUGUAUAGCCAUUGCUGGUCUGAUAUGUGCGGUUUUCGCCAUUGGAAUCCCUCAUUUAUCUGCUCUUGGGGUCUGGCUUGCAGUUUCAACCAUCCUGAGUCUCAUCUACAUAGUAGUAGCAAUUGUCCUAUCAGUUAGAGACGGUAUAACUUAAAAUAAUGAUCAAGAAUUUAGCUAUACUGAUAGAUUAUAUAGCUACUGAUAAAUCUGACUCUUGGCUAUUAUAUUUUUGUUAUUUUGUAGGAGUGAAAGCACCUGCAAGAGAUUACGGAAUACAAGGAUCAUCACUAAGCAAACUUUUUACCAUCACAGGAGCAGCUGCAAACCUGGUCUUCGCAUUCAACACAGGGAUGCUUCCAGAGAUUCAAGCGACAGUGAGACAACCGGUUGUGAAAAACAUGAUGAAGGCUCUAUACUUUCAGUUCACAGCUGGUGUUUUACCAAUGUACGCGGUUACAUUCAUCGGAUACUGGGCUUACGGAUCCUCAACCUCCACCUAUUUGUUAAACAGUGUUAACGGCCCACUAUGGGUCAAAGCCCUUGCUAACGUUUCAGCUAUACUUCAGUCUGUUAUCUCUUUGCAUGUAAGUUUCUUGGCCCCAAGUCUUUAACUGUCUCAAACUUUUUGUAACGUUCCGACCACCCACGGAUAAUAAGACUCCCAUGCCCGCUCACUCGACCCGUUGGUCCUAUUACACCUUUGCUCAGUUCUUCUUCUUUAUUUGUAGAUAUUUGCGAGUCCAACAUAUGAGUACAUGGACACAAGGUUCGGGAUCAAAGGACAUCCACUGGCUUUAAGGAACUUGCUGUUCAGGAUCAUGGCGAGAGGCGGGUACAUCGCGGUGAGCACGCUUAUCUCGGCGCUCUUGCCGUUCCUUGGGGACUUCAUGAGCCUCACUGGUGCAGUGAGCACAUUCCCUCUUACAUUCAUUCUAGCUAACCACAUGUACUAUAAGGCUAAGAAAACUAAGCUUAGUCCUAUGCAAAAGGUAUGGCAUUGGCUUAAUGUUGUCUUCUUCAGUUUGAUGUCUGUUGCUGCCGCCAUUGCAGCUCUCAGGCUCAUCGCCCUUGACUCUAAAAACUUCCACGUUUUUGCAGAUAUGUAAUUCAUUUUAGUAUAAUUGUAAUGGUUCAUUAUUCUCCCACCAAAGCUUGUAUUCUCUUUUUGUAUUUUAUAACACAUCUGAACAUAAAUGAAACAAAAGAUUAUACAAAAGUACUAAAGUUUACCAUCAAGGUUGUGUCUGAACCAAUAGCAGAGACUCUCAGACGCACACCGCAGCAUUUGAGCAGCAAAGUAUCAACCAAAGGGUUACUCUUUUCCCUCUUACCAAACCCUUCAUCUCCUCACGAACAAGACAGCCUCGCUUCAAUCAAGAAUCUCGCCCUUGCCUGUGCUCUUCUCUCUUCUUCCCUCUCUUCCACUCACGAACUCUUCUCAUGGAUCCCCGAAAGCCUCUCACUCAUAGGGUUCUCCGAGAUAUCUAGGGAUUAUUACAAUGGUGGGAAGAUGAGAUUGGUGAUCGAGUUGUUGCCGGUUGUGUUGCCUGAGUUGAAGGAUACGAUCGAAGGGAGCUCGAUGGGUAAGAAGAGUGAUGAUGCAGAGGAUGUUUCAGCUGCAUUGACGAGACAACCUGUUGGUUAUGCUGUCUUAGCUGCUCACCAGCUCAAGUGGUUUGUGACUCAGGUCUGUACUGAUUACUGAAUCAUCAAUAACUUGAAACUAUUCUGUUAUGUUGUUGCUCAAUGCAUUCUCUUGGGCCUCUUGGUGGGUAGGUUGAGAAACCGGAACUGGGGAAGCUUUGCAACUUGGUGGUUCCUUGUUCUUUGACAGCACUUGACCAUUGGUCCCCACAAGUCAAAGUAAGUACUUUGGGUUGUAAUGGCUUUUGUCUCUUAUUAGUUGUAACAUGAGAUUUAAUGUUGUUUGUUUGCUUGAUGACAGGGGGAGGGUAUGCUAAGCUUUAUUCAUCUACUUAAAAAUGUGAGUUCAAAUGAUCUUGGUUUGUAUGGAGACGUGGUUCUUGAUGCUUGCUGUCAGAAUAUAGCUUCAGAUGAUGAGAUAUGGAUACAUGUGGUAGAGUUAUCUGUGCUUCUUGUGACUAAACUCCAUCCAAAUAAUCCUCGUACCUCAUGGUGCAACUCUUUUUUUUUUCUUUUUCUUGUGUGACUGUCUGCUCCGGCCAAAUGGUUCUGUUUGCUCCAUGUUUUUGAAUGUAUCUUUUUCUUAGGUACGAGAGGUUCAUGAUUCAUGAAUGAGAUGCUGGGCCAUUUGGAACGCCAACCAAGAAACAAAGAGCGGUGUAACGCUUGGCUUAGAUUCGUUGAGCAACUCUUGAAUGCUGUAGGGCUUUUCUUGCUUGCUCAUUUUCGACGUAUUUUUCCUCUUUUCUUUCAGUGGAUGCAUUCAGAUGACGCUGAAACUGUUUUGUUGGUAUGUCUUCAUUCACUUUGCAAAUGUUAUGUAAUAAUGAUUUACAAAAUGGUGAGAUUUGCUAUAAUGCUAUGUUAAGGAUUUUAACAGAGAAUGGAUGUUGGUGUUGAGAAAAAAAGGCUGUACAAGGAAGAGAGAGAGAGAGAGAGAAACUUAUUUUUUUCUAAACAAACCUUAAUUAGAAACAAGAGAAAGAGAGGGUUGGCGAAAGAGGAGGAAAGAAGCUAGCUAGACCACCCGGCGGCAGCGAUUUGAAAUCUCCGGUUUCAUUCGCUGGCCGUGGAAACGCGCAAGGAGAAAAUAGUGUUUAUGUUUUGGCUGUUUCGUCCUUGAGGUGUGAAUCUUGAAGAAGAAGAAGAAGAUUGUAAUGGGGAAGAAAAGAGGUCAUGUCCAUAAUGCUCUCUUCCAACGACGACACCAUGAUUUCUUCUCAGGAUCCUAAACCCAAGAGGAUCUACCAACUCUGGCCCGGCAACAAUGUAUGCCUUGUCUUUCACACCAUGUCCUCUUUGCUUUGCCUGCUCUCACUUUCUCCAUCCGAAUGGCUUUCAUGAUCGGAAUGAGCUAUCCUUUGUUCCACUCUCUUAUACUCAUGGGUUCCCUUUUGCUCACCGUCUUGGUAAUAAAACAUAAACUUGUCUUUUUCCUUGUAUGCCACACGUUUACCCCUUUCUUCACUACUUCCUAAUCUUCUUUACAGGAUUUCACAUUUCUCUUCUUAACUUCAUCAAGAGACCCCGGGAUCAUUCCAAGAAACAAAGAAGCACCUGAAGCAGAAGGGCUUGACAUGCUCAGUAAAACAAAGCUACCUGUAACCAAGGAUGUAUUAGUGAACGGCUACACAGUCAAUGUCAAAUUCUGUGAGACUUGUUUGCUUUACCGUCCUCCACGCGCCUCUCACUGCUCAACAUGCAACAACUGUGUCCAAAGAUUUGAUCACCACUGUCAAUGGGUGGGACAAUCUAGUAAGUCUUCCAUGUGAAACAAAAGGUGUGUGUGUGUGAGAGUAUGAAUCUGUUGAUCUAACAUGUUGUUAUAUAAACGGCAGAGAAACUAUCCUUACUUCAUAGGUUUCAUAUCAACUUCAACUCUCCUCUGCUUGUACGUCUCAUGGGUUAGUAUGCUUGAGGUACACGGCAAGAUGUUGUUAAUGGUCAUCAUGGACGACAUAAAACUGAUACUAUGUAUCUGCAUUGCAUCAAAAUAUUAAGUCAACCACUUGAUAUAGUAUAGCUUAAUUUUUAUAUUAGAAUUACCAAUUUCAACUAUUUAAUGCAUUAACUAAACAUUGAUAACAAAAUAAUUUCCCUAUUAAUAGUAUAGAAAUACUGUUCAAAAUAAUUUGCCUAUUUUCUAGAUUUAACUAAAAUGAUUUUCGUUGUUCAGAAAAAAAAAACUUUAAUGAUAAUAUAUACGGAAAAUAUGUAGUCUCUAUUUUGGUUUCCAUCAUCACUAGUAAGCUAGCGAGUGCGAUUAGCCACGCGCCGAAGACGGAGUGCACCUUCCUCUUUGUCUUUUAAAGCCACGCGCCGAAGACGGAGUGCACCUUCCUCUUUGUCUUUAAAGCCACGCGUCCUCCACCUCCACCUCCACCUCCACCUCCACCCGACUUUGACUCCAUCUCGUUGCUGCUGCUACAACGAAGAGGAAGAAAAGAGGAUACGAUUGACGAAGCUCGAGGAACAUGAGAUCAGGAGAACACAAUUGAAGAAGAGAGCGAGGCUGAUCAGAAACCGACAAAGCGCGCAGCUUUCGAGGCAGAGGAAGAAGCAUUAGGCUUAUCCAUGGAUGCAUUGUCCUCCUUAUAUGGUCAAGCAACAAGGAGGAGGACAAGUGCCUUUUGAUUCCCAUUCUAAUAUUACUUUCUGUUCCCUUAACUUUGUUUAUGACAAACUAUAGAGCAUCGAACUUACCUUCAGUUACGUCUCUUGUUAAGAGUAGAUGCAUAACCUAAUCCGGAUAGAUGCCAAACAGUAAGCACUAAUGAUUAACAUAUGAAUACUUACUCAUAGAAAUUGAAAUGAGCAGAUCAAACGACUUUCCUGAGGCAUUGUAGCUUUUGAGAUUAUUAAUAACCUGUUUUCGUUUUUUUUUUUUUUUAACUCCAUUGUAGGGCCAAUGUUUAGCUCCGGGAUGUGCACACAAAGUGUUUCAGUUCGAUGUCUCCUCAACCUCUGUAGCCAUUAUUCCUGCACUGAACACAGUAAGAAUGCCACAGACACACACAGGCGAGAAAGAACAGAAGAACUCUUCGUGGUCUAGCCAUUCCACUCCCAGGAUCAGAUUUUAACUUCACUAAAUUAGAGCACCAAAGAAACAGCUCUAGCAAAGAAAUCAAGCCCGCUUCAUCAAUGGUUGUGUCUGUGCUUGUUGAUCCCAGAGAAGGUGGUGAUGGAGAUAUCGAUGGGAUGAUUGGGGGACCAAAAUCACUGUCCCCAGUUUUCGUUGUCGUGCUUCAGGACAGUGCAAAAUAUGUAACAUACUACCUCGACCAGGAGCUCCUCAUCUUGUGACUACUUAAAAGACUAUUCAGGAUUGUAACAUGCUUCAGCUUUGUAUAUAAGAAUAAACAGUUGCUUGCUCUUUGGAAUCAAGUAACAUCCUUAGCUGUUUAGAUUUUUGUUUCCAGAUGUAGAGUCCGAAUGCUGUAACUUUUUCAAUAUUUCUUAGUAAACUUAUAAAGAACCUUACAAAGUUAUACUGUACGCAUCAAACUUCUCGAAUACAUUGCAAUAUUACAAGAAACAUGUCCUUAAAACAGAAGAAACUGAAAGUGAUCAGUUAGCUGAUUCCAUGGUUUGAGCCAAGGGGGCGUUAGUAAUAGCCAUCUUCAUGUCAGGAGGAGUUGAGCCGCUGCUACGUUCUCGGAUCUCUCUAUAUUCUUGGCAAAUAGCACACAAGUGACAGAAGAAGUGUGUUACAAAGUCCCCACAUGGAGCCUCCUGCAUCAAAAAUCUUACAUUAACUUGCAGUUAUAUUAGUAAUGGGGAAAGUUAAUUUAAGCAGAAAUUUAAAACCGUGGAGUUUAAUAAAAAAAAACAACAAUUGAUUCAAUAUUAUUUAUAUAAACAAAAUACGUAAAUAUGUUAAAUUUCCCCUUUCAACAUACAUCUCAUUUAGCAAACUUUAUAAUUAAUUGAAAACAUUAUAGUGCUAUAGGAACUAGGUGUUUGCCGUAAUUUUACGGGUAAUUAUAUUAUAUGAAGAAAUAUAUAUUAUGUUUAUAUUGUUAUAAUUUUUGAAUAAUAAUUAAAAUUAUUAUUGUCUAAACCGCAGUUUCAAUAUUUUAGUUUAUAUGAGGCGCAUGUACGGCCCAACAUAAGCAAAUCCUAAUUACAUAAAAUGUUAUUUUGGUCAUUUCACACAAUCACCACCAUUCUCGCUCCCAGACGCCACUUUUAGACUACGAAGAAGAAACCCUAGAGUCUCUCUCCCAAAACUCUAACCAUGGCCGAGAUACUCGUACCGAAGGGCAUUUUGCGGGGCCACACGGACAUGGUCACCGCCAUCGGCGUAUCGAGCGAUAAAUCCAUCAUCCUCUGGGAUAUCAACAAGGGCGGCAAGUCUUACGGUGUUGCUCAGCGUAGGCUCACAGGCCAUGCUCACUUCGUUGAGGAUGUGAUUCUCUCAUGGAACGGUGGCCAUGCUCUCUCCGGAAGCUGUGACGGUGAGCUCCGUAUUUGGAAAUUAGACACUGGUGCCUCCGUUAGAUUCGUUGGACACACGGAUGAAGUACUCUAUGUCGAUAUGUCUGAUGACCAACGUACUAUCUUAUCCGCGUCUCGUGUCUGUAAGUGCACGAUCUCUGAGCAAGACGAUGGUCACAAGGACUAUAUUAGCUGUGUUAGGUUUAUCCCUAACAGGGAUGAUGGGUUAAGCAUUGUUUCCGCUUCUUGGGAUGGCACCGUGAAAGUGUGGGAUGUCGACAACUGCUUUAACUGUAAGCUGAAUUACUCUCUCGUUGGACACUCAGCUUGCCGCACCACUCUGGCUGUCAGUCCUAAUGGUCAACUAUGUGCCCGUGGUGGCGUAGACGGUGCUAUCUUGUUGUGGACUUUAGCUGACGGAAAUAAAGUUUGCUCGCUUGAGGAUAAUUUAAUUAUCCACUCGCUUUGUUUCUGCCCGAACAGAAACUGGCUGUGUGCUGCGACGGAGAACGGUAGCGAGAGUGGUCAUAAUACUCUUGUUGACCUCUUCCAAGAGCAGCCUGUUAAAAAUGAAAAGACAUUCAGGGACAUUACGCAGGAAGUCAUGGAAAAACAUGAGCGGGAAGUUUUAUUCAGUGGUUCACAGUAUAGUGAUUAAGGAGCUUCAUCUAAGUUCUUCACGCACAAGACGUGAUGUAGAACUUGCUAUUCAAGAAAAAUUAAGGAAUGUAAAUAUGCCUCCUUUCAUCAACAAAGCCAUCCAGGUUAGAAUUAUAUUAUAACGGUAGAGCUGACUUGUCUUUCGGUUAUUUUAUUGCUGAAAAUACUGCUUUUUUUUUUUCAUUUAUACAGGAUAGACUUAAAGAAACUGUUAGGUCAACUGUUGCGGCAUGCACAUAAAUUGCUCGAUCAACGAUUGAGGAAUCCAUGGCUAUCCAAAUUCACGAGGAAUUUGAGACCUCAUUCAACAGUGACCUCCGGGUAAAAAUAUUUUUGUAGAGUACUGCAGUCUCAACCGCCGCUUGGUGAAAACGGUGUUGACCUCUUAUGUACCUGCCAUUUAUAAAUUUCAGGAAGCACUUAGGUGGGGUGUGGAGACCUCACUCCUACCUACCUUUGAGAGGUUAUGCCAGACCAUGUUUAAUCAAGUAGACGUAGCCAUGCGCGAUGGGAUUAACGAGUACUGUGGACACACCCAACUUACUCAAACUUUAAAGGUAAGAUGGAAAGUCAUCAUUCUUCCCAAGACUGGUAUAGUUUCAAAAUCUAGUCAUUUAUUUCGUCUUUCUAAAGUUGCUGCCCAAUAUGCAGGAUAUCGUUGGUUCUAUGUUGUCCAUAAGCGCUGAAUUUGACCAGAAACAGAAUAAGGUCUUAGCUCUCUUGGAAAAAUCUGCUGGAGCAAAUCCCUUGGUUACUCAAGGAAGUAACAGACCUUUGGGUCCUCUUCUUAGAAUGGUUUGUUUUCACAAUCUCUGGAACUAAUUCAUAACCAUGUGUUAGCUUGAUAUCACCAUUCUUUGGUUCUUUGCUUCGGUUUCUUCUCUGUUAUAUAACUUUUUGUGAUUGAGUCAGAGAGUGAAUAUAGAGAGAAUCAUUUCUGGUUCUGAUCAGUCUUUGUCUGAGUUUUGACAUUCACAACAUCUAUCCCUUUCAGGCCGGAUUACCUGUAACAGCAGAAUUAUCCAGCUUGAUAUCUGAAAGCAAGUACGAAGAGGCUUUCACUAGGGCUUUACUGGAAAGCAAGUCCGAUGUCAACAUAUUAUCAUGGCUUUGCUCAAAGGUGAGACUUUUCUUUUUACAUGAAUAAGAGACCUCAUAAGCAUCAGUUUGACACAAGAUUCCAUGAGAUUUGGUUUCAGGUGGAUCUGCAUGCACUGUUGGCCAAGAAUCCUCUUCCUCUGAGCCAAGGACUUCUUUCUUCUUUGUUGCAACACCUAAACAACGACAUCAGCGACAUGUCCCUUAAGCUUGCUUGGUUGAAGGAUAUGUGGCUGCAGCCAUUAAACCAUCAGUCCAGGUGGAAACAAUAGCAGAAAUGUAUUACCAGCCCAAAACCUCUUAGCCAUUUUUUUAAGAAAAAUAGACCUAGUCAAAGAUGAAAUUAAUUGGCAAGUAAAGAGAGAUCAUGUCAUAGCCACCAGUAUAUUCUAUGCCUUACCUUUUUUGGUACACAUCAAUUCUAGAGAAAAAACUUCUCAUUCGAGGAUCUACGACUUUCAGAAAAUGCUACUUUUGUCUGUCAACUUAUCAACCAUAUACACAAUUGAAAAUGAAAAACUAGAGUCGCUGCACAUCAGAAACACCAUGACUUAUAUUUCACUGUAGUCCAAUGUAGAAAAAAAAAAAGAUAUUGCACUCUACACAUAAGGAAAACCACUUAAUUAGCUAAAUGCACAUUUGGUGAUAACUUAGGAAUUGUCGACGUUUGUAGGACCAUUAUACCCCUACUGUGUUCUACAUGUAUUCUAUUUUCCCGAUGCCCACAGCUUUUUAAUACAUCCUAUUUCUGAUAAACCAAAUAUACACUAAUCUAUUUCUGUCCGACAACUUGAUAUAUUCUAAUGUUUUGGAUAAACCAAAUAGCCACUUUCUCUUAUAUAUAUUCAAUUGUUCCUUUGUUCAUUGAAUCGUAUCCGACAUAACUCUUCUCUUAAAAGUCAGUUUCGUUCUCUUCAAUUUCCUUAUGGACCCAAUCGGUAGUGAAACGCCGCCUCCAGAUUUCCCCGAAGAAUGUUCGCGACGGGGGAAGAACCAGUGGACAUUAGGGUUACUCCGUACCACAAACCUUCUUGUAUCUCCAAAAUUCUCAACGCCUUAUAAAAAGAAGAAAUCUCUGUCAUCAGAGCUUCUUCAUUUAGAAAACUACUAGCAGUUGCAGAGAAACCCUCGUUCUCCGGCUGGUUUGGGUGUUUCCUUAUUUCCAGUCGAUUGAAAGUUGUUAAGGAUAAAAAACAAACCGAUUUUCGGAUUGCUUAAGGAUUGUGAAGUGGAGGAGAAAGGGAGGGUCGAAGCCAGUUUCGAUUUGGAUAGGCUGCCGAUGGAUCUCCUUAAUUAGAAAGCUCAUCAUCAUCUCUGAUCCAAAAAAAAAUGACAACUCAAGGGAAAAGAUAGUAGCCGGAGGAUAACGUUAAAAUAAUAAGUUAUGAGGACAUGAAAUGUUGUGAUUUUACUUUGUCUCCUUGACCAUAUACUUUGCUAAGAGAAACAUUUGAGCUUUUUAACAGAUUUUCUUUACUCUGUUUUCUGAUACAAAAGCUUCACCCAAACAUACAUUAUGACUUCUCCCUUUUAACUUACUAGCAACAAAAGCAGGGAUGGGUUCUCUCACCAACUCCCACUAACACUAUACUAACCUUGCUUAGUAGUCUACUUUUACAAACAACUCAUACAACAUCACAACACUGUUACACCAACUCCUUAAGCACACAACUCUUGAUAACUAGAACUCCUUAGUUCGGUUUGAGAACAAAAUGACUUUACUCAACAUGAAAAGAUGUGAUCCGUUUGCUCCGCCAAUUCCGAUUCCCUCUGUAUUUACGAGGAGACACUUUGUUUUAUGUCCCAUGUUGUUUGGUGAUGCUUAAUUAAACUUGUACUCUGUUAUUCACUAGGCCUAAUGUACACACAUUUAAACAAGCUACUUUAUAUUACAUUUGUAUACUAUACAUUUUAGCUUCUGCACAGAUUUACAAAACGCUACUUUAUAAUAUAUUUGUAUAUCAUAUAUUUUAGCCGUCCACAGUCGCAACAUACGUUUCCCUUUGUUGUAUGAGUUUUAAUAAACGAUCAUGUUACAGUUCACUAUAACACAUACAUUAAUAAUUAUAACCGUAUACCCACAUUUAAACAAUGAUACUAUAUAGUUUAUAUGUAUAAUAUACGUUCUAGCUGUCUACAAUCUCACAUACGUUUACAUUGUUCUAUGGGUUGUAAUAAAUUGUCAAAUUUGUUGUUUCAACAAAUACCUUCUUGAACACUUAGGACCAUCUACUUAAAUUUAUAACACUCUAACUUUCUUAUUGGUUGCUAAUAUUAUCUUUAGCUGAGUUGUGAAUGUUUUAUCCGGUUAAAAACAUUUUUAAGCUUUUGUGUUUUGUUUUGUUGAAGCUAAUAUUAUCUUUAAAGAAAAACACUUACAGUUUUAGCCGCUACACCAUCAUGUAGCAUAACAAUCGCAAUUUGUAUAUGUUUGUCUAAUACAAUUUACAAGCGACAUUUCUAAUUCUGAAUGUUAAACUUCAUUUGACUAACAUGAAUUCAUCUCGUCUUAUAUUAUGUGAUUUACCUAACUUCAUUAAACUUCAUUUGACUAAUAUGCAACUAUUUUAUUUUAUAUAAAGCUAUGUACUAGAAUAUCUAUCUUUUGAAUUAUAAUAGCAUGUAAAUAAUAUUUUAGCAAUGUAAAUAUAAUCUAACCGUCCACGUACCACGUUUUUCUGACAAACAUUCAUUAGUCAGUUGACAAACCCUCAUCAAAUCCACCACCCGAACACGGCGAUAGAUAUCUGAUUCACGCGUUUGGAAUUAACUAGUUUCAAUAACUCGAGAGAUCGAACACAUGAACAUUUUGCUCUAAAUAUCUAAAUAAAAAAGGAAAAGAUUUAUUCGUAUGUGAAAGAAAUCAAGCCAUCUGAUAUGAAAACAGAGAUACAUGCAUAUUUUCAUAGUUUUCUUCUUCUUAAAUCUACUGAAGAAGAAGCGAACAAAAAAAAAUUAGAUUGAAUUUCUUUUAAAAAAAAUACGAACUUGCUUAAACAAGUCAUAGAAAACCAUCAGAGAAAACCAUCAAUCUAUGAACAAGAUCAUAGCAAAAUAUAGUAAAAAACAAAAGAAAGAACAAAUGGCAGCAAGCUUUUACAGUAGCUGACAAAAAAAAAAAAAAGCUUUUACGGUAAAAAAAAUAAAAAUAUGUUCUAGUGAACGGAAAAAUAAAUAUCUAGAGAGAAUACGUUUAUCAUUUAGUAAAUAUAUUUCAUAUCUUAAAGAUUAUCAAAAUAUAUUGCCAACUGUCGGAUACCAAAUAAAGCCUACUCCUCUCUCCACACCAAAACAUAGUGCUAGGGAUCUUCAUGUAAUUUCAUGUCUCCUUGUGCUACAGUAAUAAUCAAACUAUUACUGUUAUAGGUACUUAGCUAAUUUGCAACUUCUUUUUGGAUUUUCACCUAAUUGUCUCAAAAAAAAAGUAAUGCCCAGGCCCCCCCUUACAAACAAGAAUCUAUGUAAUCUCUCAAAACCACUGACAAUACAACAGUAAGAAGAAGUAAAAGAAUCCAUUACACAGUUCAUGGAAGACUAAAGAUAUGACCAAAUCUUUUAUGUACAAACCUGCUUUGUAUCAUCUCAAUCAUAGCUCCCUCAGGACUCUAACAGUUGGUGGACAAUCUGUUCUCUGACCAGCCAGCGAGUAAUACGCUAGUAUAUGAGCAGGAUGCUCCACCUCACUUACCUCUCCCAUUUCAUCCACUUCCGGGACUCUUCUUGCUUGAAUCAGCUCUAUGUUCCAGUACGGUCUAGACAUUACCCUCAGAUCUUGCCCUGUCUCUGAAGCUCUGUACCCUUGCACCCACAGGUAUCUCAGCGAAGGCAGCUCCAUCACCGCUGCAGCGAUCGCUCUCUCGCUGAAGCAACACCCUCUCAUCUCCAGCUUCUGCAUCUUCGGACAACACCCUUCUCUCGAGAACUCCACCAAUCCUUUGUCUGUCUCACCAACUUUACCGAGAAGCAUCCAUCUCACGUUUGGACUAUACUGUCCUACGUAGCCUAACCCCACGUCCGUCAAGCCGCCUGGCCUGAGAUAGAACGCGAACCGUCUGAGUUUCUCGCAUCCCAUCAAGAGUGAUCUGACACCACUAUCCAGCGGCAAAUCUGCUACUAUUCUCUCUUCCUGGUCGAGCAAGACAAGGCGGAAGUCGCGGAGGUUUUUCAGAUACGCGCCUAUGGUUCGGAGACACUCGUUGGUUAUGUCUGUCACGUACACCGCCAUGUACUCUAGCUCCUUGCAGCCGUGAGCCAAAGCCGUUAGUCCUCUCUGUGUGACUAAAUAUCCCAAGUCCUCAUUCCCAUCUUCAUCUGCACCUCGUCUUUCGUCAUCCAUCUCUUCUUCAUCGGCACCCCGUUCGAUCCUCAGCCGCUUUAACUUCUUACAGUACUUUGCAAGAACCUCUAGACCGUUGUCUCCUAUUACAUUCCUCGUCUGAGAUAUACACCAAGAACUUGUCAGCCUUUACAUACAUAAUAGUUCACAAAGAAGAAAAAGUUACCUCAAGAACUUCCAGAUUAGAACACUUUUGGAUUAGUUUACAAUGAUCAUUAGUUUCGAGAAACGCAUAGAGCAGAUCCAGCUUCCGGAGUUGAGCAGCGAAUGGAAACAGUAUCGGCAUUUCGUUAGCUCCCAAGUAAGGGAGGCCCAGACGAGUUAGCUUUGGAGGGAAAGUCAGUUUCAAGUACUUCUCAGGCGUUUCUGGAUCCUCAUCCAAGGCGCCACCGCGAAACUCCUCGAGGUUAACAGCAGCGUUAAAGAACCCGACUAGCUCCAGCAUCUCAAUGUCACCGACCUUGACAGAAACCAGAGAGCGGUGGCAGUUCCUAGCUAUGGUUUCCAAGUCUUUGGGGCUGAUUUUUGUAAACUCAGUCAUGUAGAAGUUUAACACCUCGAGAGACGUGUUGUGCAGGGCAAGCUCGUGUAGCCAUUUACCAUCCUUUUCAAGGAAAGAACUGUCGUCCAUCACCAACGUUUUGAUUUUCCUGUCACAGACAACAUACAGAACCAUGAAGAAAGUGAGAAAACAACUCAAGAUAAAUUAGAAUUUUCAACUUAAACUGCAUAUAUACAACAGCAACAACCAAGCCAAUACUAUUUUGUAAACGACUUGAUCAUAAAUAUGAACUCCCAUGGAAUGGAAAUAGUAAUGAUUCCUUACUACACAUUAUAAUCAAGUCUUAAUGCAAGAACGAGAUUAAUGAACAUGAACUCCCUGAGAUAACAUUUCUGCAGAGGGCAGAUAUAUUGGAUUUUCAAUUUAAACUGCAUAUACACAACAUCAACCAAGUCAAUACUAUUUUGUAAACUGCAUAUACCAAGUAUUGAUUUCCUUACCAGACUUUAUAAUCACGUCUUUUUAAACAUGGGACCUAAUGCAAGAACAAGUUCGUUAAAAUGAACACAUAGAGGCAAUCUUUCUGCAGAUAACAGACAUAAUCAAUCGAUCGUUUUUGCUAAUCAGACAUAAACAAAAGUGCAAAGUAAAGCAGGAAACCAAAUAAAGUAAGGUUAAGAGGUAAAAGUCGGUUGAAUAAUUCUGCAAUCUAUUUAUAAUCAUCACAAGUGUAAAGUAAGGAGGUCCUUUAUACAAGUAGGCAUCAAAGUUUCUACUUAACCAAUUGAACUAAAGAAACAAUCUUUAAGAUACGAUUCUUUGUAAAAGUAAACACCCAAAAUGCAGCAAUCUUGUUAUUAUCAAGCGGCGUCGUUAUGAAGAUAAAGAGAGAUGCAAAAUUAUGUGAUAAACCUCAAGAGACAAUCUUUCUAUGCAGAUGCCAUAUAUAAUCAAGUCAACACUAUUACGUAAACGACUAGAUUAUAAACAUGAACUCCCAAUGGAAUGAAAAUAGUAUUUGAUUCCUUAUUAUAUACACUUUAUAAUCAAGUCUUUAUAAACACGGCACCUAAAUGCAGAGAAGGAGAUUAAUAGACCCUAAACUCCCACUCCGCAGAGACAAUCUCUCUGAAGAUGACAAAUAAUCAAUCAAAUCAAUCUCAUACAUAAACAAAAGUGCAAAGUGAAGUAACAAAUCAAGUAACGUAAGGUAACUAACCAAUUGAGCUAGAGAAUCACUCUUUUUAACUAUACAAUUCUUUUGUAAAGACCUAAAACGCAGCAAAUCUUGUUCUUAUCAAAAACGGCGUCGUUACGAAGAGUAAUCUUGUGUUAGUUACCUGCAGUGUCUAACGACGCUCAAGAGCCCAUCGCUAGAGAACCCCAAGCACUUAUCAAGCUUCAGAGCCUCGAGCUCAUCCCCCCUCGCUCUCGCCAAAACAUCAAGAUCCAAGUCGUUAACGAUCAUCCUCCUGAAAUGCACGGACCUGAUCCUCCGCAGCGACAAGGCGAUCUCGUUCACCCAGGGGGUAACAAACCCUCCCCAAUUCUCCGGGAUGAGGUUGAACAUCGCGGCGCGGGGCUUCCCUUUGAGCUUGAGCGACCUCAGGUUCGGGAACCGAGCGCUGAGACGAUCGGGUGCGGAGGCGUAGCAUAGGGCCAUGGUGACGUGGUAUCUCGUCUCGGAGUCCGCUCUGAGCCACGUUCGGUUGACGAGGGAGGCGGAUUCGCGGUCUUUGGGGUCGGUUAAGUAAGGCAUGACUAGCGAGAUGACGUCAUCGGCGUUCCGCGGGGUUGAUCGAAGCUUCUUGGUAUCGGGAUCCUCCAUCGUCAAGAUUCGAUUCGUUUCGUCGAGCAACGGAUUGAAAGGAGGAGGAGGAGGAAGAAGAAGAAGGCAGAGAUUCGAGUAAGCAAGGACACGCGUCGGAAGAAGAGAUUGGGAGAGGAAUCAAUAUAAGAGAAUCUCUCUACUCUGUUGUUUGUUGAUAAUAUUUUAUUUUAUUUUAUUUUGGGAUCUAGUGGGCACACAAAAUAAUAUUUGAUUUUUGACCUUUAUAUUAUACAGUGUGUUACUGAAGUUAGACGACGAUAUUUGUAUCAGAGUGAUUUAUUUUCCAUUAUUAAUAGUUAACGUCUUAUAACUUUUGCGUACAUGUGGGUGAUUUAUUUUCCAUUAUCUAUCUAUUAUCUAUUCUAUUAAAAGAGAACCAUUCUAAAAAAAUCUACUUAUACAAGGUUACUGCACCCUUUCAUUUAAGUAACAAUUAUUUGGUUUUACCAUCUAUUAGCCCAAUAACAAAAUAUAACCUUAUGUUUAGCUAACUAUAUUUAUUACGCCUUAUCUAAACCAGUAGUAUAACAACUUUAUAUUUGAUAGACCAAAACAUGUUUUACACGAUAAUAUAAAACACGAUACAUGUUAUACACAAGACACUAUACACUAUAUAGUUUAUUCAUUGAGUCCUGCUCAUGUUGAUGACAGUUAUCUGUACAAUAAUCAUAUCACAUGUAUUCCUCUCUUAGACCCAAACGCCAAAUGGCAAUGCCUUCAUUCAAUUGAAAGACCAGAUCAUACCCUAACCUCGAUGAAACAACACAUUCAUUCUCAAUCUGCCAAAAUGAUUCAGAGCAUAACAUUACAUAUACUGUAUCAUUUUGAAUAAAACUUAUCUGGUAAAAUACUGUAUCAUUUUGAAUCAAUCUAAUAUGGCAAAGUAUUAGUGCUUAUACCAAGUCUCUUCUUUGAGAGGGUUCUUAGUUCGUUCUUAAUCUGAGAAGUUCGUUCUUUAUUAAUUCAUUCUUAUCUAUCAAAGUUAAAGUCUGUUUUUAAGAAAUCGGAUCAAGUUUAUAAUAACCACGUUAUCCUAACUAUAUAUAGUUAUAAUAUUUUCAAAUUUAGUAUUAACGACCAUAAGUUAUUAAUUUGCUAGCAUAAAUUUUUCUAACCUACUUUAACUGAAUAGAUUUUCGAAACAAUCUGUUCGAUACAAUUUUAAAUACAUAAAAACCGAAAUCUUAGAAUACUUGAUCUACAAGUUUCGUAUUAACUACAAUACAUGAUAAUUUUCCGUGCAAAAAAAUUAUGUUACCUACUUUAACUGGAUAAACAUUAUCGUGUAGAAUUUAUAUUCCAAUAAUAUUCCUUAUUCCUCCAACUAAAAAAUCAUAUCAGAUCUUAAUAUUCAACCUUAAAUAUGCGUAUCUUGUGCUAAGAACUGACCCAAACCCGAAAAAAUUUAUGAAUACCUAUUAGAUUCAAAUUUCUAGGAUCCGAAGGACCCAGAUCCGAAAAAAAUUGGACCAAACCCAACCCAAAGACUCAAACGUCCAGGCCUAAGUGUAUGAAUGAGCAUUCAGGUACCCAUUUGGGUACGAGUCAGUUCUUUAGGGUAUUAGAAUUUUUGAGUUCUUGGGUAGGGUUCGAGUCGGUCCUCCCAGAUACGGAUAUGUUCGGUUCUAAUGUAUAUGAACCUGAAAAUAACCAAAUAACCAAUGUAUCUGAAACAUGUUUGUCAUGUUUGUACUACCUGAACCGACCUAAUUUUAAAAUAUAACUAAUAUAUAUUUACAUUUGGAUAUCUUAGAAUACUCAUUCGGUUUUCGGUUUAGGUCGGGUAAUUUUUUUUUAAUCUGAAUUCUUCGAGUCCUCGACAUUUGGAUCCAAUUAGGUAUUUGAAAUAUUUUCGGUUAUAGUUCAGUUUGAUUCCUUUUGGAAUCGAGUCAAUACGAGUCCAUAAUUCAAAUAACCCUAAAAUACAUGUAAUUUGAGUACGUAAUAGUCUAGCUCAGUUUGGAUAUUUAGGAGCAAAAAAAAAAUUGAAAGUACCCGACCGAAAGACGAAAAAUACCUAAAAUACUAAUUCAUAUCCAACUUUAUUUAUAACCCAAACAAAAUCCGCGCUUUUGAAGCGCGGGUAAAAAUCUAGUUAAUAGUUAACAUCUUAUAACUUUUGCGUACAUGUGGACAAUGAACAAACAUGUGUACACAGAUAAUUAUAGCAUCCAUUUGUAGAACAAUUGUGAUAAUAUACAUGUGUACAUGUAUAACAACAAGCUCAUUUUAGAGUUACACAAAACAAUGAAAAUUCUAGAUAUAUUCAUGAGAAGUGAAAUAUACGAGUCUCAAAUUUUGAAGUUAACAACGACGGUGUCUUUGUCACCGUCUUCUUCAUGCUCUCCUCCAUUCUUGAUCCAAGGACGAAGACGAAGCAGCCGAAGAAUAAGAAGACAUGGCUCAAGUAGAACUUGUAUGGUUUCGACCCACGAGUCUAUGACUACAAGUCUACAAUUCUAAAACCUGCAAACCAUUUCAAAACUGUUCUGUUUCAGCUGUAUCCAUUUUUUUAUUCUCUUUGAUUUCAACACUCUGUUGUUUACGUCUCCGCAGCCAUCUCUAUCAUAUACGUCGAUGGCAUCUACAUCUCUGUCAUUAUCUAUGUCUCCGCCUUCUUCUACUUCUCCGCCAUCGUCUAUACGUCGAUGACGCCUACGUCUCCGCUAUUGUCAAUGUCACCAUUACACCACCAUUCAACCAUUAGCUUUGACAUAUCUCAAAAAACAGAUCAAAGAGUAGAGAUAAUAAUUUAAGGUAACAUUUUUGAAAAAACAAAUCUAGAGAAGUGGAUUUUAUUUUACAAAAAAAAUGGAAGAGAAAGAAAACGAAGAAGAAAGAGAAUGAUACUCACAAUGUCUUUUGGAUUUAUUGGUUAAGAAAUAUAUUAAAUUAAUUGAGAAAUAAAAAAGAGUAAUUUAGGAAUUUGGUGUGGUCUAUAUGUGAUGUUUAUUCUUGUUUCUUGUCCAAAACUGCCCUGAAAGCAAAAAGUGUUUUAUUAUGUUAUAAAAAACUUGAAACUGUUUUUGAAUUUGAAUGUAAUUCUUUCCUUGUAUUAUAUCAAGUAAAGCCAAUCUCUUUUGCUAAACGACUAUGUAAACAGAAUAUUAACAAGAUGUGGUUAUGCAAUGGAUGAUUACGUACGGCGUGAUGAUUAUUUAUUAGCUUAAUUCUGCGAUUAAUUUAAAACUUUUCUGGGGUUAAGGACAACGUUUUCUGUUGUUGAUAGCUAAAAGUAGUUUCCUGGUGGCCCAUAAUAGUUGGGGUUAAACUAUAUGAUUGUUAUGUAUGUAUGGAGCUAUGUGAAUUAUUAAAAAAAAUUGCAUGAUGAUGUAUAUAAAUCCAUAGAUGACUUCAUCAAACUGGCCAAUAAAAUACUAUCAAAAUUGAAUAUAAUUUGUGAAUUUUUAUGUAAAUAAAAGUUUCAUUUAAAUCAAUCAUAAAUUUUUAUGUUCUAAAAAUUGGUUUAGGUAUUGACUAUUGUCCGACUAGGCGGCACGGCAAAUUGGACCUAAAGGAUUUUUAUAGAAUGAUUUUUAAAAAAAAAAAUCGGUCUAAGCAUUCAAAAAAAUUAGUCUAGUCUUCCACCUAAGCAAUAAUCUUCUAUAAAGCAUUUAUUUUACCGCCUACAAUUUUUCGAAGAUUGGUCUUGGCAGUCCCGGCUCUAACCUAUGGCCACAUUGAUAAUUGCUAUGGAUCCAUGGAUCCAAACAAAAUUUUGGUAUUAUUUUACUAAUUAGAAAAUUCUAUUUUAAUUUGUUAAAUUAUCAAUUAGCUGGUGAAUUUAUAACAAAAAAGCUCAUGAUUAACAAAACCAAUUUUAAAUACAACAGGACAAUAUUUAUUUUUUUUAAACUUCACCGUUCUUAAUUUUUUUACAACAAAACCUAAUUUACACUUAAAGGUCCAUUUUUUUCUUUUAAUACCACAAAUUUUUUUUGCUCCAAUUUAAAGAAAUGCACUAAUUUUUUUGUUAAAAGGGUGUCUAUUUUAUGUUUGGCGUAAGGCCAUUAAAAUUUUUAAGACGGCACUGGUCUUGGUGUUAGGUUGAGAAACCAAAAUUGGGGAAGCUUUGCAACUUGAUGGUUCCUUGUGCUUUGACAGCACUUGACCAUUGGUCUCCACAAGUUAAAGUAAGUCCUUUGGUGUUGUAAUGGCAUUUUUCUCUUAUUAGUUGUAAACAUGAGGCCAUAUAGUGAAUGAGAAUAUGAUGUUCUUUGUUUGCUUUUGAUGACAGGGGCAGGGCAGGGUAAUAAGCUUUAUUCAUCUAAGCUAAAAAUGGUGAUCUUGGAUUGUAUGGAAACGUGUGGUUCUUGAUGCUUGUUGCCAGAAUAUAGCCUCAGAUGAUGAGAUGUGGAUACAUGUGGUGGAGUUAUCUGUGCUUCUUGUUACUAAACUCCAUCCAAAUAAUCCCGAAACAGUACAAGUUUUGUGAUCAAUCUUAUAUGUACUUUACCUUUGAAUGGUAUAACAACUACACCAACAUAAACUCUUGAAACCAUAUACACAAUUGAAAAUGAAAAAAUAGAGUCGCUGCACAUCAGAAACACCAUGACUUAUAUUUCACUGUAGUCCAAUGUAGAAAAAAAGUAAUGCCCAGGCCCCCCCUUACAAACAAGAAUCUAUGUAAUCUCUCAACACCACUAACAAUACAACAGUAAGAAGAAGAAGUAAAAGAAUCCAUUACACAGUUCAUGGAAGACUAAAGAUAUGACCAAAUCUUUUAUGUACAAACCUGCUUUGGAUCAUCAAUCAUAGCUCCCUCAGGACUCUAACAGUUGGUGGACAAUCUGUUCUCUGACCAGCCAGCGAGUAAUACGCCAGUAUAUGAGCAGGAUGCUCCAUCUCUCUCACAUCUCCUAGGUUCACUUCCGGGACUCUUCUUGCUUGAAUCAGCUCAAUGUUCCAGUUCGGUCGAGACAUUACCCUCAGAUCUUGUCCCGUCACCGAUUCUCUGUACCCUUGUACCCACAAGUAUCUCAGCGAAGGCAGUUUCAUCACCGCUGCAGCGAUUGCUCUCUCGCUGAAGCAACACCCUCUCAUCUCCAGCUUCUGCAGCUUCGGACACCCUUUUGAGAAUUCCAUUAGUCCUUCGUCUGUUUCACCAACGUAGCCAAGAAGCAUCCAUCUCACGUUUGGACUGUACUGUCCGAUGUAUCUUAACCCCACGUCUGUUAAGCCGCCUGGCCUGAGAUAGAAUGCAAACCGUCUGAGCUUCUCGCAUCCGAUCAAGAGGGAUCUGACUCCGUUGUCCAGCGGCAAAUCUCUUAUCCUCUCUUCCUGGUCGAGCAAGACAAGGCGGAAGUCGCUGAGGUUUUUCAGAUACGCGCCUAUGGUUCGGAGAGACUCGUUGCUUAUGUCUGUGACGUACACCGCCAUGUAUUCUAGCUCCUGGCAGCCCUUAGCCAAAGCCGUUAAUCCUCUCUGUGUGACAAAACCUCCCAAGUCCUCAUUCCCUUGUUCAUCUGCACCCCAUCUUUCGUCCAUCAUCCCUUCUUCAUCUGCACCCUGUUCGAUCCUCAGCCGCUUCAACUGCUUACAGCACUGUGCAAGAACCUCUAGACCCUUAUCUCCGAUCACAUUCCUCGUCUGAGAGAUACACACCAAGAACUUGUCAGCCUUUACAUACAAAAUAAAUAGUUCAUAAAGAAGAAAAAGUUACCUCAAGAACUUCCAAAUUAGGACACUUUUUGAUUAGUUUACAAUGAUCAUUAGUUUCGAGAAACGUAUAGAGCAGAUCCAGCUUCCGGAUUUGGGCAGCGAAUGGGAAUAUCAUUGGCAUUUCGUUAGCUCCAAAGUAAGUGAGGCCCAGACGACUUAGCUUUGGAGGGAAAGUGAGUUUGAUGUACUUGUCAGGUGUUUCAGGAGUAAAGGCGCCACCACAAAACUCCUCAAGGUUAACAGCAGCGUUAAAGAACCGGACUAGCUCCAGCAUCUCAACGUCACCGACCUUGACAGAGACCAGAGAGCGGUGGCAGUUCCUAGCUAUGGUUUCCAAGUCUCUGGGGCUGAGUUUUGUGAGCUCGGUCAUGUACAAGUUUAACACCUCGAGAGACGUGUUGUGCAGGGCAAGCUCGUGUAGCCAGUUACCGUCCUUUUCAAGAAAUGAACUCUCUUCCAUCACCAACGUUUUGAUAUUCCUGUCAAAGAAAACAGACGGAACAAUGAACCAAGUGAGAAAACAACUCAACAUAAAAUUGCAUAUGCACAACAGCGACAACCCAUUCAAGGAUACAUGAACUCGCAGAGACAAUCUUUCUAUGCAAAUGACAUAUAUAAUCAAGUCAACGCUAUUAUGUAAACGACUUUGAUUAUAAACAUUGAACUCCCAGUGGAAUGAAAAUAGUAUUUGAUUCCUUACUAUACUUUACAAUCAAGUCUCCAGAAACACGGCACCUAAUGCAAUGAACGACAUUAUAAACAUUGAACUCCCAGAGACAAUCUUUUUUGAUAGAACCCCCCGCCAAAGUUUCUAAUUCCACAACUGAUAAUUUUCUCAAGUUGCAGGCAUAACAAUGGCAAGUGUAAAGUGUAGCAAGGUCCUUUAUACAAGUAGGCACCAACGUUUCUACUUAGUCAACUUGUUCUUAUAAAAACGGCAUCGUUAUGAAGAUAAAGAGAGUUGCAAAAGUAUGUGAUAAACCUCAAGAACCAAUCGACAUUAUAAACAUUGAACUCCUCCAAAAGUGCAAAGUAUUAGCACGUAAGGUCCUCUCUACACAAGUAACUAACCAAUUGAGCUAGCAAAUCUUGUUCUUAUCAAAAACGGCGUCGUUACGAAGAGUAAUCUUGUGUUAGUUACCUGCAGUGUCUAACGACGCUCAAGAGCCCAUCGGUAGAGAACCCUAAGCACUUAUCAAGCUUCAGAACCUCGAGCUCAUCCCCCCUCGCUCUCGCCAAAACAUCAAGAUCCAAAUCACGCACGAUCAUCCUCCUGAAAUGCACCGACCUGAUCCUCCGGAGCGACAAGGCGAUCUCGUUCACCCAGGGGGUAACGAACCCUCCCCAAUUAUCGGGGAUGAGGUUGAACAUCGCGGCGCGAGGCUUCCCUUUGAGCAGGCCCGGCUCAAAAGAAUUUUGGGCCCUUGGCAAAAUAAUCAAAAAUUUUUUUUUUUACAUAAUUAUAUGAUAACUUAAAAAUUUCGGGCCUUAUCUUCAAUUUUUUUAAAAAUAUUGGGCCCCUUUUCAAUACUAUUUAUGCAAAAAAUCUUUUGGGCCCUAGGCCAAUGCCCCUUUGCCCACCCUCCUGAGCCGGGCCUGAUGGAAGAGAAAGAAAACGAAGAAGAAAGAGAAUGAUACUCACAAUGUCUUUUGGAUUUAUUGGUUAAGAAAUAUAUUAAAUUAAUUGAGAAAUAAAAAAGAGUAAUUUAGGAAUUUGGUGUGGUCUAUAUGUGAUGUUUAUUCUUGUUUCUUGUCCAAAACUGCCCUGAAAGCAAAAAGUGUUUUAUUAUGUUAUAAAAAACUUGAAACUGUUUUUGAAUUUGAAUGUAAUUCUUUCCUUGUAUUAUAUCAAGUAAAGCCAAUCUCUUUUGCUAAACGACUAUGUAAACAGAAUAUUAACAAGAUGUGGUUAUGCAAUGGAUGAUUACGUACGGCGUGAUGAUUAUUUAUUAGCUUAAUUCUGCGAUUAAUUUAAAACUUUUCUGGGGUUAAGGACAACGUUUUCUGUUGUUGAUAGCUAAAAGUAGUUUCCUGGUGGCCCAUAAUAGUUGGGGUUAAACUAUAUGAUUGUUAUGUAUGUAUGGAGCUAUGUGAAUUAUUAAAAAAAAUUGCAUGAUGAUGUAUAUAAAUCCAUAGAUGACUUCAUCAAACUGGCCAAUAAAAUACUAUCAAAAUUGAAUAUAAUUUGUGAAUUUUUAUGUAAAUAAAAGUUUCAUUUAAAUCAAUCAUAAAUUUUUAUGUUCUAAAAAUUGGUUUAGGUAUUGACUAUUGUCCGACUAGGCGGCACGGCAAAUUGGACCUAAAGGAUUUUUAUAGAAUGAUUUUUAAAAAAAAAAAUCGGUCUAAGCAUUCAAAAAAAUUAGUCUAGUCUUCCACCUAAGCAAUAAUCUUCUAUAAAGCAUUUAUUUUACCGCCUACAAUUUUUCGAAGAUUGGUCUUGGCAGUCCCGGCUCUAACCUAUGGCCACAUUGAUAAUUGCUAUGGAUCCAUGGAUCCAAACAAAAUUUUGGUAUUAUUUUACUAAUUAGAAAAUUCUAUUUUAAUUUGUUAAAUUAUCAAUUAGCUGGUGAAUUUAUAACAAAAAAGCUCAUGAUUAACAAAACCAAUUUUAAAUACAACAGGACAAUAUUUAUUUUUUUUAAACUUCACCGUUCUUAAUUUUUUUACAACAAAACCUAAUUUACACUUAAAGGUCCAUUUUUUUCUUUUAAUACCACAAAUUUUUUUUGCUCCAAUUUAAAGAAAUGCACUAAUUUUUUUGUUAAAAGGGUGUCUAUUUUAUGUUUGGCGUAAGGCCAUUAAAAUUUUUAAGACGGCACUGGUCUUGGUGUUAGGUUGAGAAACCAAAAUUGGGGAAGCUUUGCAACUUGAUGGUUCCUUGUGCUUUGACAGCACUUGACCAUUGGUCUCCACAAGUUAAAGUAAGUCCUUUGGUGUUGUAAUGGCAUUUUUCUCUUAUUAGUUGUAAACAUGAGGCCAUAUAGUGAAUGAGAAUAUGAUGUUCUUUGUUUGCUUUUGAUGACAGGGGCAGGGCAGGGUAAUAAGCUUUAUUCAUCUAAGCUAAAAAUGGUGAUCUUGGAUUGUAUGGAAACGUGUGGUUCUUGAUGCUUGUUGCCAGAAUAUAGCCUCAGAUGAUGAGAUGUGGAUACAUGUGGUGGAGUUAUCUGUGCUUCUUGUUACUAAACUCCAUCCAAAUAAUCCCGAAACAGUACAAGUUUUGUGAUCAAUCUUAUAUGUACUUUACCUUUGAAUGGUAUAACAACUACACCAACAUAAACUCUUGAAACCAUAUACACAAUUGAAAAUGAAAAAAUAGAGUCGCUGCACAUCAGAAACACCAUGACUUAUAUUUCACUGUAGUCCAAUGUAGAAAAAAAGUAAUGCCCAGGCCCCCCCUUACAAACAAGAAUCUAUGUAAUCUCUCAACACCACUAACAAUACAACAGUAAGAAGAAGAAGUAAAAGAAUCCAUUACACAGUUCAUGGAAGACUAAAGAUAUGACCAAAUCUUUUAUGUACAAACCUGCUUUGGAUCAUCAAUCAUAGCUCCCUCAGGACUCUAACAGUUGGUGGACAAUCUGUUCUCUGACCAGCCAGCGAGUAAUACGCCAGUAUAUGAGCAGGAUGCUCCAUCUCUCUCACAUCUCCUAGGUUCACUUCCGGGACUCUUCUUGCUUGAAUCAGCUCAAUGUUCCAGUUCGGUCGAGACAUUACCCUCAGAUCUUGUCCCGUCACCGAUUCUCUGUACCCUUGUACCCACAAGUAUCUCAGGGAAGGCAGUUUCAUCACCGCUGCAGCGAUUGCUCUCUCGCUGAAGCAACACCCUCUCAUCUCCAGCUUCUGCAGCUUCGGACACCCUUUUGAGAAUUCCAUUAGUCCUUCGUCUGUUUCACCAACGUAGCCAAGAAGCAUCCAUCUCACGUUUGGACUGUACUGUCCGAUGUAUCUUAACCCCACGUCUGUUAAGCCGCCUGGCCUGAGAUAGAAUGCAAACCGUCUGAGCUUCUCGCAUCCGAUCAAGAGGGAUCUGACUCCGUUGUCCAGCGGCAAAUCUCUUAUCCUCUCUUCCUGGUCGAGCAAGACAAGGCGGAAGUCGCUGAGGUUUUUCAGAUACGCGCCUAUGGUUCGGAGAGACUCGUUGCUUAUGUCUGUGACGUACACCGCCAUGUAUUCUAGCUCCUGGCAGCCCUUAGCCAAAGCCGUUAAUCCUCUCUGUGUGACAAAACCUCCCAAGUCCUCAUUCCCUUGUUCAUCUGCACCCCAUCUUUCGUCCAUCAUCCCUUCUUCAUCUGCACCCUGUUCGAUCCUCAGCCGCUUCAACUGCUUACAGCACUGUGCAAGAACCUCUAGACCCUUAUCUCCGAUCACAUUCCUCGUCUGAGAGAUACACACCAAGAACUUGUCAGCCUUUACAUACAAAAUAAAUAGUUCAUAAAGAAGAAAAAGUUACCUCAAGAACUUCCAAAUUAGGACACUUUUUGAUUAGUUUACAAUGAUCAUUAGUUUCGAGAAACGUAUAGAGCAGAUCCAGCUUCCGGAUUUGGGCAGCGAAUGGGAAUAUCAUUGGCAUUUCGUUAGCUCCAAAGUAAGUGAGGCCCAGACGACUUAGCUUUGGAGGGAAAGUGAGUUUGAUGUACUUGUCAGGUGUUUCAGGAGUAAAGGCGCCACCACAAAACUCCUCAAGGUUAACAGCAGCGUUAAAGAACCGGACUAGCUCCAGCAUCUCAACGUCACCGACCUUGACAGAGACCAGAGAGCGGUGGCAGUUCCUAGCUAUGGUUUCCAAGUCUCUGGGGCUGAGUUUUGUGAGCUCGGUCAUGUACAAGUUUAACACCUCGAGAGACGUGUUGUGCAGGGCAAGCUCGUGUAGCCAGUUACCGUCCUUUUCAAGAAAUGAACUCUCUUCCAUCACCAACGUUUUGAUAUUCCUGUCAAAGAAAACAGACGGAACAAUGAACCAAGUGAGAAAACAACUCAACAUAAAAUUGCAUAUGCACAACAGCGACAACCCAUUCAAGGAUACAUGAACUCGCAGAGACAAUCUUUCUAUGCAAAUGACAUAUAUAAUCAAGUCAACGCUAUUAUGUAAACGACUUUGAUUAUAAACAUUGAACUCCCAGUGGAAUGAAAAUAGUAUUUGAUUCCUUACUAUACUUUACAAUCAAGUCUCCAGAAACACGGCACCUAAUGCAAUGAACGACAUUAUAAACAUUGAACUCCCAGAGACAAUCUUUUUUGAUAGAACCCCCCGCCAAAGUUUCUAAUUCCACAACUGAUAAUUUUCUCAAGUUGCAGGCAUAACAAUGGCAAGUGUAAAGUGUAGCAAGGUCCUUUAUACAAGUAGGCACCAACGUUUCUACUUAGUCAACUUGUUCUUAUAAAAACGGCAUCGUUAUGAAGAUAAAGAGAGUUGCAAAAGUAUGUGAUAAACCUCAAGAACCAAUCGACAUUAUAAACAUUGAACUCCUCCAAAAGUGCAAAGUAUUAGCACGUAAGGUCCUCUCUACACAAGUAACUAACCAAUUGAGCUAGCAAAUCUUGUUCUUAUCAAAAACGGCGUCGUUACGAAGAGUAAUCUUGUGUUAGUUACCUGCAGUGUCUAACGACGCUCAAGAGCCCAUCGGUAGAGAACCCUAAGCACUUAUCAAGCUUCAAAACCUCGAGCUCAUCCCCCCUCGCUCUCGCCAAAACAUCAAGAUCCAAAUCACGCACGAUCAUCCUCCUGAAAUGCACCGACCUGAUCCUCCGGAGCGACAAGGCGAUCUCGUUCACCCAGGGGGUAACGAACCCUCCCCAAUUAUCGGGGAUGAGGUUGAACAUCGCGGCGCGAGGCUUCCCUUUGAGCAGGCCCGGCUCAAAAGAAUUUUGGGCCCUUGGCAAAAUAAUCAAAAAUUUUUUUUUUUACAUAAUUAUAUGAUAACUUAAAAAUUUCGGGCCUUAUCUUCAAUUUUUUUAAAAAUAUUGGGCCCCUUUUCAAUACUAUUUAUGCAAAAAAUCUUUUGGGCCCUAGGCCAAUGCCCCUUUGCCCACCCUCCUGAGCCGGGCCUGCCUUUGAGCUUGAGCGACCUCAGGUUCGGGAACCGGCGGGCGAGGCGAUCGGGUGCGGAGGCGUAGCAUAGGGCCAUGGUGACGUGGUCUCUCGUCUCCGAGUCCGCUCUGAGCCACGUUCGGUUGACGAGGGAGGCGGAUUCGCGGUCUUUGGGGUCGGUUACGUACGGCAUGACUAUCGAGAUGACGUCAUCGGCGUUCCGCGGGGUUGAUCUGAGCUUCUUGUUAUCGGGAUCCUCCAUCGUCGUCGUCCGUCGUCAAGAUUCGAUUCGUUUCGUCGGAGAUUCGAGUAAGCAAGGACACGCGUCGGAAGAAGAGAGUGGGAGAGGAAUCAAUAUAUAAGAGAAUCUCUCUACUCUGUUGUUUGUUGAUAUUAAUUUUUUUUUUUUUUGGGAUCACAGAAUAAUAUUUGAUUUUUGACCUUUUUAUAUUAUAUACAGUGUGUUACAGAAGUUAGACGACGAUAUUUGUAUUUAUAUCAAGUAAAGCCAGAUCUCUUUUGCUAAACGACAAUGUAAACAGAAUAUUAACAAGAUGUGGUUAUGCAAUAUGGAUGAUUGAUUACGUACGGCGUGAUGAUUAUUUAUUAGCUUAAUUCUGCGAUUAGUUUAAGCUUUUUUGGGUUAAGGACAAUUUUUUCUGUUGUUGAUAGCUAAAAGUAGUUCCCUUGUGGCCCAUAAUAAUUGGGGUUAAACUAGAUGAUAACAAUGAUUGUUAUGUAUGCAUAUUACACCAUCUCCAUCAAUAAGAACCUCUUAUGGACUCUAAUCAAUAAAUUAGUAAUAAAUAUAGUGAUUUGAAAGGUUUAAAACUUUUGUUAAUUUAAUUUAAGUUUUUCUCGUCCAAUGGUAGAACCUCAUUGAGGUUCUUAAAAAACAAAAUUAUUUUUCUAAAAUUAGAAUGAUUUGAUUUCAUAACAUGAAAAACAUAAAAAAAAUAUUAAAAAAGACAUUACAACAUAUUGAAAAUACAAAUACUAAUCGUAAACGAGAAAAAACCGAUUAGUCGAAAUCUUGAUUUGUUCCAAAUUUUUGCUAGAUGUUCUCAACCAAAAUUUUGCCAGAUGUUCUCAACGAAAUCAGCUUUCAAUUGUUGAUAUAUUUUGUUAUCACGGACUCGACUCCGAAUGCUCAUUAUAUUCCCGAGAUUUGAAGGCAUAUCUGAUGAAAACUCGAAAUUCACUUGUGAAUUUCGGUUUGAUUCCGGUUGUUCGAAACAAACCAUUUCACCAACAAGUUCCCACAAUAUUUUGGGAAAUUUUUGGUGAAAUGGUUUGUUGCAAGGGUAAGAGAAGCACAGGAGAGUUGGUGAAAUGGUUUGUUGCAAGUGAAACACAAUAUUUUAGGAACUUGUUGUUUUAGGUGAAAUGGUAAGAGAAAUGGCAAAGUUUGGAUGUUGUUUUCUUUUACAGUCGGAAGAGAAAUAAACAAAGGAAACACAUCUCAAAAGGGUUCUUGAAACACAACUCAAACUCGCUUGCUUUACAACAUACAAAUUUUGAACUUAUAAAGACAAGGAAACACAUGUUGCUUUAUAACUUGCAAGUCACAUGAUACAGUCAAUAAAGACAAGGAAAAACAUGUUCUUUUACGUUCAGGCAGGAAGAGGAAAAAAACAGAACAUGAGCAUUUCUUCUUGUCUUCUUCAUUACAUGACAUGGGAACACAACUUGCACCUGCCAAAAAAUUUGAUCAGAGACCAUACAGAAGCACGAGACAAACAGAGCAACAGAAUACACAACUUGCACUCACAACAUGACCUGCAGAAGCACGAGCCAAACAGAGCAACAAAAUACACAAGUCUCAGUAUAGGCUUCAGCCUUAGCUCCAGAGAUGUUUAAUUGUCUUUCUAAUUGUCUUCCACCUGCUAAAAAUGUGAUCAGAGACCAUACAGACAAAGAGAGCAACAUAAUACAGUUAUCACACAAGACAAAGGUGUGAUUUAACUUAAGCCAAAAGAAAGUGUUCUCAAUGGAUCAAAUGAUAGAGUAUGGUUACUUACAAGAAACACAUAGAUUGUAGUUGCCACUGAUGCUCCAAUGAAACCUUCCCAUGUUUUCUUAGGAGACAAUUUUAUCAAAGGAGUCUUCUCAAAAUAGAAACCAACGAAGUAAGCUGCUACAUCGUUCAUAGCAAUAAGCUCUGCUGGAAGAAGAAACCGGCAUACAUACAUCCAUUUAAUAAACAUGUUGCUAUAUGUUUCAGAGAUAUAUAUAAAAACUCAUGUGUAUCAACCGAGGAACCCAAGAUCAUCAUCAUAACUUGUUAAAAUCAACCAACACUAACUCGGUUUCUAUGCAAAAGAUUCGAUUUUUUCCAACAAACACACGAUAAUCUACUAGUAAAAUAUUUCACCUUCCUCAAGAUCAUCAUGCAAAAUCAUCAUCGACAUUAAUUUUUACAGACAGUUUUUCUACAGAGAAGAGAAAGGGGUGUUCGCACUUAUCUCGCCUCUUGUAUAACUUUCAUCCUUUCCUCGAUGUUUCUCUUGAAGCUGAUUCAUGUGAAGAACUUCCUUCUGUCUUCUGAUCUUCAUCAGAGCAUCAACGCAUGGGAGGAAACGACAUCGACACCGCAUUGACGAAAACAGCGAAUCGAGUGCCGAUUGGCUUCGGAAUCGACAAAGAAUGGACAGCGAAGGAUAUCGACAGAGAAUCAAUGGAGAAGAUGGAGAGAUCGAGCUUUGGAGGAGGAAGAGAAACAAAAGUGAUUACGGGAGAAAACCCGACGGAGGAGAGAGACACGUUAAGUUGUGGUCGAAUAAGAGAGUGCCACGUAGGGGUCCUUACCAAACCUAAAAAUCCUAAUUUAAACACCGGUCCUCUCUUUUAUUUUCAUUUUUCAUUUAUUUUUCUCCUAUUUUUUCUAAGAAACCUAGCGUAAGAAGCCACGAUGGACCUGCUCUUAGUUUGUAUGAACUAUUGAACAAGAAUACAUAUUGCAUGAUGAUGAUUUCAUUUAAAUUGACCAAUAAAAUACUAUUAAUAAUUGAAUAUGAUUUGUGAAUUUUUUUACGUAUAUAAAGUUUCAUUAAAAUCAAUCACAAAUUAAUAAACUAAAUGACAAAAAUAUUUUGUUGGAUUUGACAGUGAAAAAGACACUCAAAGAAUGUAACUCAAGAUUCUACUCCACACAAACCAAAACAGCACAAGAAAUAGAUGUACGUACACCUUUGUGAUUUAUCAUAGGGAAAAUUGGAAAAAUGGGACACUCUCAACUUUUAUUUGUCCUUUUAGUACUUCUGAUAUUUUUAGCAAUUCUAGACAUGUUUUACCCUUCUUUUAUGGGAAAAGUAGUAAACUGAAUUUUAAAAAUGUAAAAAAAUAUUAAGACUAUUGGAAACAUAAGUAUGACAAUAUAUAUGCUUAAUUUUUUUUUUUGAAAAAAGUUGAAUCAUAUUUUAUUUUAUUUUCUAGCUACAGUUAGAAAACACAUUCUAGUAAUCUACUUAAUUUAGAAAUCGGAUACUAAGUUUUAUACAUAGAUAUAUCCAGGGUAUAUAGCGUAAACUAAUAUUUCUUAUAUAUUCUAACGAAACUAUAAUCUGUUACGUUAUAAUCAAGAAAAUUGUCUUCAAUCUACCUACAGCUUGAUAACGACAUAUAGCUACAACGCAAUGAUAUACCUUAUCUAUAUUAUUUGUCAUAAUAUGUUCUGCCUUUUACCUUAUGUGACGCUUAAUGAAGAAUGUGUUUCUCAUCUACUCUACUAUGUUCUGCGUAAGGUAGGCUACAUAUUCUAGACAAAUCCGAAAAAUAUGGAAACUUCCAUAUUUGGUUAAAGAUGUUUCCUAAAUCUAAACUAAAUCUACCCUAAAUCUCUCAUAGAAUAUUUUCUCCCACGUUUUUCUCCUACUCCCACGAUCUUUCUCCGAUCUUUUCCUCUUCGUACUGGUGUAAAUCAAAAGGAACAAUUUGAACAAGGAGCCGUGUUGUUGAGGCUGAUAGCGUUAAAAAACAAAAACAAAAGAGACUCUGCUGGGGAUCGAUCCCAUAAUCUCUGGUUGUGUGAUAUAUCGUAGACCAGUGCCUUAUCCAUUGGGCCACAAAGUCUAAUUGUUUGUUGUAUGAUAUAUUUAGCUUAUAGACCUUUUAAACCCAAUUAAAGAACAUAGAGAAGAAAUGAACCAAAAUCUAGUUUGAACAAUUCAAAGGUGUAUGAAUUCCCAAAACUUAAUUUCUCAAAAGUCAAAACUGAACUGAAACAAAUCUAGACUGAACACAGUUGAACGAUACAUCAUACAGAAAAAAAAAAUUUAAACUUUGUAACAGAAGAAAGAUUCAUAUUCAGGAAAACAAAUAGAAAAUCACCAGAAACUUAGGUACAUCCUCAGAAACUCCUAAAGUUAAAGAGACAACUUAUUGGCACUUAUUGACCCUACGGAAGAUGAUAAAGUAUUGUCUUUUGAGAAAAUAAGAGAAAUGUGCGAUGCAAACAUUCGUUAUAAACCUUGUUUAAUCCUCAAACAAUGCCUUCUGCAGUUUUCUCUGCCUGUAGCUUCUUAGGACGGGUACCUUCGGCUUUAUCUUCCUCAUAAGCUGCAACAUGAACUCCAAGAGCCGCACAACCCGACAGGUCAAGGUUCUGUGACCAAGCAGCGUCCCAUUCCACAGCCUUCGCUGUACUACAUGGUACACUUGGACCUCCUGGCACAGUAGCUCUAGCAGCGCUCUGCUCAUUAUAUGUACAUAUCAGAGCAAAGAUCAAAGACAGUUCAGGCAAAGAAUGAAGUAGAACCUUAGGGAAGAAUUUUCCAAAGAUGGCUCUGUUUGAAAACCUUCGGUAGAUAAGGAUUCUUCUCAUCAUCAAAAGCAAUGCGUAACACCCAUUUCUCGAUCCUUUCGAUGUCAGGCCUGAUCUGCAAUGUGGUUUAGACCAGAUCUUACAUCAAACUGUGAAGGGACCGUCCGACGAAACCUGUAGUGAGAGAAGAAUACCGUCCGACGAAACCGUAGAGAGAGAAGAGGACCGUCUGACAAACCAAAGAACAAAUCCCCAAUUCGCUGAAUUGUAUCUGAGAACAAAGAGAAGAAAGAUAAAAACGAGAUUAGAGACAAAAAAAUUGAUGAUUUACGAUGAAAAAAAUAAGGAUUCUCCGCUUACCCUAAAUUGACAUUGAAAGGGUUGAAGGCUUGAAGGUACACGGCGGAGAAGAAGAGAAGUGAAAAAAUAUUAGGGUAAACAAGUUUUUAAUCCUUUUGUGGUUUUUUCUUUUUUUUUAAUUAAAAUUUAAAUCAAUUACGAAUUAAUUUAAAUUUUAAUUAAGGUUAAUUUGGUUAAUUAUAAGGGUAUAAUGGUAUUAAAGAGAAUAUAAAUCUUAUUUACCUAAAUAAUCCUCUACAAGUCUUAUUGGAACAAAUCUAAGAUUAAAGUGUCUCAUUUUUCUAAUUUUCCCUUUAUUAAAUCAUCUACAAGGGUCUAGACAAACAUCAUUCUCUGGCAAGCUUGAGCAAACUUGUGCUCUCUCUAUUACAUCAUUUUGUAACUAGAAGAUUGUCUAUCAUACCCUCGUUAAAUCUUCUACAAGAGGUAGAUUUUUUUAACAAAAACGAUUGGGAAAAAAAAAGAAACACACUACAAAUGACUACUACACUUGAUCUCAUUUGAAAUGCUUAAAGAAGCUCCACAUUCUCAACAUAAUACGUAUACACGCUUUGACCACUCAAGCGUUGCAGCAUCUCGAAGAACCCACAGCUUAAAACUUUUACAUGAUCGACUAGCAUAGCCAGAAUUUUCCGAGGACAUAAGCAAACCUAAUCUGCCAUUGUAGUUUAUCAUAGUUGUUGAAUGAGGCAGUGCUUUAUUGAAACCUCCCAAGAGCGUCACAGAGCUGAACUUCUCAGACCUCAAAUCAAAACAAACUACCAUAGAUUCUCCUGAAGAAGGCCCAGAUUCUGUAGCUAUAUAGUACAACACGCCACUGAUGCAAAUCCACUUACCAGAAGAACAGUGUGGGAUGCAACAUUCGACCGCCCUCCAUGACAAUCUGUUGGUUCCUAAUGUCAGAACAUGGAGCUCCUUACCAUCAUCACGUAAAAGACAAUACCUUGAACUCUUUAGCAAUGGGGUCAUAUCCAAGAUAGCUUUCCAUUUCCACUCCAUAAUUCUCUUUUGAGUUCAAUCUUGGUAAUGUCAAGAACUGUCCUGUGCUGGGGUUACAUAUCACCAUGACAAGCACUGUUUUGUUCCUGCCCAGUUUAGCUCCAUAACAGAAGAAUCCAUUGGUACAACCAAAUAACAAAAUACUUAAUGACUCAAGUUUCUCUCUGUGAAGAAGAAAGAGAAAGACAUUAAACUUAUCUUAUACUAACAAAAUACAGUUUAGAACUUAGCCACAAAUUCUACAGAAAUGUCACAUUCACCAGACCGAAACAACAAUCUACCAGAAAUGUCGAUUUUACAAAUUGCAGAAGAAAUGAGGCAAAUCUUUGUACACAUAAAUGUUUUCAGCAUUUCUUACCUCGAAAUUCACUGUCACUAGGUUGAAUUUUUGGACUCGGUUCGUAAAUCGCAGUUAGGGUUUAGAACUAUCCCCAAAAUCAUUUUGUCGGGGAAGAACAGAUAAAAGAGAGUGCAGUAAUAAAUUUAAAACCUUAGCAUUUUGAAUCAUCUUUACAAUUAUGUUUUGGAGUAUCGUAUUAUGUUUUAAGAUAAGGUUUGUGGGUUAGGUUUAAGGUUUUUUCUUAAGAUUUGGAAAAUAUACAAGUGUUUGAUUUUCUGAUUAUAUUCAAUUGUAUUUUUUAAUUAUUCUUUUUUUAUAAAUGUUGGAUCUUGACAUAUUUUUAUAUAUUUUAGAGUUUAUAAUCAAAAUUUAUAUUUUAUGAAUAAUGAUCAAAUGUUUAGAGUAUGCUUAGGGCUUAGAGUUUAGAAAAGAAAAGAAAAAUAUAUUUUUCAAAAAUAUGUCACUACUAUUGGAUUUUCUCCCCUGUUAUUUAUUAUUUUAUCUUUUAGAGUUUUUGAAUUGUAUAUGAAAUUUAGAGUUUAGAGUAUGAUUAGGGUUUGGUUUAAAAAAUUCAGUUUCUACGAAUAGCCACGAUUUCGAUUGUGGAAAAAUAUUCUCCAAAUUAUAUCAUGGAUAGUUAUAGAUACUUAUGUCCACAAUUUACUUUGUAGCAAGUUGUGAUUUGAUAUCCUUAAAUAGCCACAAAAUAAUAUCCUUAAAUAGCCACAAAAUAAAAUUUGUAGCUAAUUAGCCACAAAAAAUUACAUAAUAGCUACAAAUUUUCAUUUGUGGAAAUUUUGUGGAAAUUAUGUUCUAACCACUAAAGAUUUGUAGCUAAGUUGUGGCUAAAAUCAGUUUUUUCUUGUAGUGACCUAUGAUUUCUCCAUAGUAUCAUGGCUUUGCUCUCAAGUGAGAUUUUUUUUUACAUAGUAAGACCUGAUAAGCAUCAUCAGUUUGACAUAAGAUCCCAUGACAUUGGUCUCAGGUCGAUCUUCCUUCGCUAUUGGAGAUGAAUCCUCUUUCUCUGACACCAUCCGUGCUUUUGUCAUUGCUGCUUCAUCUAGCCGGCGACAUCAACAAGGACACAUCAUGUAAGCUUGCUUGGAUGACGUGUGUGGCUUCAAUAUGCGGUCCCUCAAUCUUUGAGCAAAUCAGUAAGAAGAUUAUGCACCCUAAGCAGCGCCGUCAGAGUUUUAAAGCACGUCAUCAUGUCUUUGCAAUCGGCCUGCAAAUGAUACAAUCUCUUAUCUUUUUUUCCUCAUCUUGUUUGUUUCGGUGCUUAUAGAAAAACAAAAAAUCAUAGGAAGACCUCUACUAUUUAAAGGCAUCUCUAUUUUUCUGUUAGGUUUUGAUUAUCGUUUUUUCUUUUUGGUUUUGAACUUUUAAAAACAAGCAAUUACAUGGACGUGCAUCCUUAGAGCAUGUUUAUCGGUAGUUUCUUGACACAAGUUCCUAAGAUUAAAAAAACUAAAAUAUUAGAAAGUUAAGAAAGAGAAAAUUGAAAAGCUCUUAACUAAACAUUUUAAGAAACGGUUCCAACAGUGACACACAUAUGUGUCACCUAUAUAUUGGUGAUGUUUUAUAAAAAAAAAAACUGAAAAGUAAAUUCAUUAGUAUAAUAUUAAUAUUUUUUUUCUUUCAGAAUCUUUUACAGCGUUGAACAUACUCUUAGUUGUAAGAGCACCCGCAUUGAGGGUUUAUGGGGGGAGUUCACACAGAAAUCAAGAAAAAAAAUAAUAAAAUAAUUCAAUCCCAUGAACCCCUCUCUCCUAAAGCUCUUUGGGAUGAACCCCUGUCUCCUAAAGUUCAUCACUGUAGCGCGGGCCCCACAUGUCGUGGCGGUCCGCGAUUGGUCUAGAUUUUUUUUCUCUUUUUUAAAAAAAAAAUCAAAAAAAAAAAGAAAAAAAAUUUAAUAAUAAAAAAUUGAAAAGAUAGAACCCCAAAAGGGGGUUCAUUGACGUGGGUGCUCUAGGAUGUAACAAGCAAUUAGAUAAUCUCAUUUACUCCAUGAAACCAUCAUCAAAGUUUCAAUGGGAGCUAUUCCCCACUAUGUUCAGCUCAAUAUUCUCAGCUCAUCAACGUCUGUAUCAAACUAUCAUAAAAGUACCAACAACUCACGAGUCACGACCUAGCCUAAUAACAAGAGCACCAGUGUGCACAUUUCCCUCUAUGAAACCAUCAUCUGAGUACCAAUUUUCAAUCACAGCCUCGAAAAGACUUAAAGACUUUAUCUUAAUCUUAACACAUCAUCAAAAGCCUUUUAGAAAGUUUAUAGAGCUUACGAUGGCACUAGUAAUUGUAACGACCCGGUUCUCUGAAAUCCGUUUGGUUAAUUAUUGUGGUUUAUUAUUAUUAUUUCAAAUCAAACCAAAGCCUUCUCGCUUUCGUAAUUGUGGGUUUCUUAAUCAUCAAGUCUAUUCUUCAAAAAAGAGUUAAAGUCACAUAUCUUGGGUUUUAUUCUAAAGGGAUGUAUUAACAGCCCACAAAACCUCUUAGCCAUUUUCUUAAGAAAAAUAGACCUAGUCAAGAUGAAAUUAAUUGGCAAGUAAAGAGAGAUCAUGUCAUAGCCACCAAUAUAUUUUAUGCCUUACUUUUUUUGGUACACAUCAAUUCGAGAGAAAACUUCUCAUUCAAGGAUCUACGACUUUCACAAAAUGGUACUCUUGUCCAUUAAAACUUUGCUACUUUUGUCUGUCAACUUAUCAACCAAAAUUGGUAAGGGCAUAUAGUCUACCACAAAUCAUUCAUGGACAAGCUUUCAGGUGUUUGGUUCUUGAUGGACAAAUAUUAGUGACAAGUUUUGAUAGAUCAAAACAUAUCCUAAGACAACGUUUUGAUGGACAAUUCCCAAAAAGUAACAAUUUGUAAUUGUAUUUUGUAAUUUGUAAUUGUAUUUUUUAGUUGAUAAAAAAAAAAGCAUUAUGGGUAAAAAAAACCAUUGCUUCAAUCUUAUCCAUACAUGAUACAUGAUACUUGUAUGAACAACAAAGCUUUUAAAUGAAGUAGUUUUCUCUAAGAAAGACAUGGCAAUGUAUGAUGAGAGAUAGUAUUGAACAAAGCAAAGCGUGGAGGGACAUGUUUUAUAGAAAUUUGAGAAUGUGGCAUAAUAUGCAAGUUCCUUGACACCAAUUACCAUAAGAAAUGUUUUAUCUUUGGUGGACACCGUAUUUUCCAGCAAAACGCUUUUAAUACAUCAACUGUAGAUCCAAAUAGUAUUGAUGGUUUUUCUUUAUCUGGAUAAACCCGUUCUACCUGAUAUCAUGAUUUAACCGUGUAUUUUCCUUUUUGCUUGAAAUGUCAACCAUACUUAUCUACCAUGUGAAAAUUUUGAUUAUUAUUAUCGGGAAUAUUUUAAUGUCAUCUCUAAACAAAAGUCGUUUAAGUAUCUAAAACACAUUUGGGGAAGUUUUAAGAACAUAAUUUCUCCAAUAUAUAUAAUCAUCAUUUCUUCUUCUUUGGUUCUUCGUUUGCAUAGUCCUUGAUUAAUGCUUCCACGUCUUUCCAGAACAAACCCUCAACGAGAACUCCUUCUUUCGUGAACCUGAAAAGGUACAAACAAAAAAACAUACAACAUAAGCUCGAGCUUAUAAUGAACAAAUAGUAAUGCAGAGAAAGAGAGAGAGACCAUUGGGUGACACUUUUGGUGAAUUGGACUGACUUGCCAGCUGAGAUUGAUUUUGGAUCAGCACUGUCAAUGGUGAGAGUGUACUCAUCAGAGAACCUCGGCAGCUUUGAAGACACAAUCAAGCCAGUGCUGGUGAACGAUCCCUGCGUAUUCAACCAACCCAUUUUUAAAGAUUUUUGAACAUAGUAGCAAAUUAUGAAGCUAAGCAUUUAAAACAAAUGAAAGUGCGCAUGCCUAUCAAACAGAGAACAUUAAAACCCUUAUGUGUCUUGACUGUAUCAGAAUGAAACAAACCCACUAACCAAAUUACUCGCAUCAAAUCUAACCAAUAAGUAGAGAAUGAAAUAUGCUCUUAAAACUCUUAUCCUCUCUGAUACAAACUACAUGAAAGGAGUAAUCAUCUUCAAGCUGGUGAAAAGGAGAAAGAAAACAACCCACAUUACAUUCCCAGAACCACCCAUUUAGCUGAACAACUAUGUUUCUGAGGAACAAGACAGCACCAAUCCCAAACACCAAAAGAAACAAGAACCGCCAGAGUCAUAUUGCCAAGACUUUGAAUAAUCAAAACAAAAAAAAAUUGAAAUUGCAGCUAUUCCUAAAGCUCAAAUGCCCAAAACCAAGGUCCCCUAAGAUACGCAUAUACACUACUUAACAUGUCAGACACACAAUUUCAAAUUCCUUACAAAACAAAAGGAAUGUAAAAGUUUGACACAGUAUGUGAAGGAACUCUGUACAUUAGGCACCUAAAUCACAGGACUAAAGUGGAUGCAUCAUAGAAAAAAGCAGACACAAACAAUCCAAGAUUGAUUCCUACUCUAAACAGUUAGAGAAUCAAACCUCAAGAGGAUAGGUGAACAAUAUCGCAUUCUUCUCCUUAGUGUACAUAAUCAGCUGCAUCACCCCAUUCAGCACUACAUACGUACACCAUAGUCAAAGAGCCACACAUCUUAUCCAAUCACACUCUACUAGAAAAUGUUUUUUUUUACUUCAAAAUCCAAUGCCUAAGCACAAAGAAGUCAAGCCACGUCACAUUUAUCUAAAUCCCUAAAAACCUUAACUGCUAAGUCCGCAGAACAAAAUGGUAAUCAAGCAGAAGGCAUUAAGCGAAUCCAAAGCAACGAUUUGAUGUUAAAAAAAAAGGAUAUAACGCAAUGCAUCCAAUCAGAAAGUCUCUGUUCUCGGGAAACUUCUUGUUGUAGAACUGAGCAACGAGAGCAACCGCGAUGAUAACCGCGCCUAAGAUCAGCUUCAUGUUGCUCAGCCUCACGUCCUCCUUGUAGCCACGGCUCGUAACGAUCUACACAAAAGGACAAAAGGAUGAUCGUAAUCCACAGAUCGGAGAAUAUAGAGGAGGAACGCGUAAGGUGAAUAAUCUGAGGAUAUGUGGCUUACAUCGGAGACGGACUCGUCGAGCAUGUGCUUGAUAGAGUUGUGGUCCAAUAGAUUGACCUUCUUAACAUUCUUGUUCGUCGAUUCUACUUUCUUCUCUUCCAUGGCGGAUCGGAUCGGAUCGGAUCUCUAGGUCUCUUCGAAAAUUCAAGUGCUCUAGCGAACGCAGUUUCUCAAGGAAGACGAUACUUAAACUGGGCCGUGAUGGGCUUCAAAGGCUAUUUUGCAUUAUAAAUUACUUUUUUAUUUCAGACUUUAAUUACUUAAUAUUGUUCUUUUUGGUAUGUCAAUUAAACAAUUUAAACGUUUUUGGCAACUAAUCAAACCCUCUUUGUUAAAAAAUCUAAAUAAUAUUUUCAAUCAUAUAUAUUUGACUACUUUUAAGUCUUUAAACUUAAAUGUUGAAGGUUUGUUUCUUUAUAUAAUUAGAUUGGAUUCCAAAUAUAUUGAUGGUUAACUUUUAAUUAUCUUGUAGAGAGAUAACUCAGAUAAGAGGCCAAAAAGAAAAUAAAAAUGAUAGGAAAAACACCAAAUAAAUAUAUAUUUUUUUUGGAACAACACCAAAUAAAUAUCAUACAAACCAAUAUUCUUGCAGGAAUUACAAAUAAUCAAUUUGCAAUUAUCAGGAAAUGAACAACAUUCCUGAUUGUGUGAUAACUAAUCAAGAAAUUAUUGGAAUUUUAAUUUAAAAUCUAUUAAUUUAUUUCAAUCUUAUUCCUAAAAUCCUAGCUUGAUUGAAGAAGAUUUCAAGAAGGCUUGGACUUGACUUUGCUAGAAGUCCCGUUUGAGAGCAACAGCUUAGCUCCCUUCACAAGCUCUUCCUUGAUCAUGAACAGAACCGCAGCAGCUAAAACGCUCUGAACUAUCUUUGUGCUCAUCCCUUUGUAGAACCCGUAAAGCCCUUCAUAUCGAAUCAUCUUCAGAAUCGCAUCCAGUGUUCCUGUAAUUCAACCAUCCAUAGAAUUAGGAAAUGAGUUUUGUGGCCUUUACUAAUGAUCUCAUAACAACAAGAGGAAACAAAAACCUUUGUACUGAUGUCUUUUGUCUCCUGUUGUGACCUGUUUGGCUUGAAGUCGUGACUUUACAACAAGGAGAGGAUAAGUUGUGACUGUAGCUCCAAGUUUAGCCACAGCUCCAAGAAGAAAUGUCUAUGGGGAUUGGGGAACAAAGUAUAAACAAGGAGGCAGAAGCAUCUUAUCAAAAGAAAAAGAAUGCAAAAUAAUUAGAGUCCGAACCUCCCAAGCGGUAACGCUGUUGCUACUCUUCAAGGCACGUUUCUUCUUCAGCUUUGCUAGCAUUGUCUCGUACAACAUAAAUUGCAUUGAUGGAUUACUUACCUGUAAGUUUUUCAAAAACAGUCAGAAAAUGCACCCACACAAACAAUAUCAGAGUAGCUUCAGAAGCUAAGUUCACAUACCAUGAUCAAUGUCGGAAUUACACCUUUCCAGAAGCCAGUCACUCCAGAUUCAUCGUAAACGUCUCGAAUCUGAAACAUUGUUCAAUAUGUAUCACAGAAGUUGUAUUCAGAGGAUUAUAGAAUAUGAAAGGGUUUCAGUUUCAUAUUUCAAUCAGGUCGAGCCAACUCUUUCUGCUUUGUAAAAAUACGAAGCUGCCUCAUACCGUGUUAAAGGUUCCAUAUGGACGCGGCUCAACUGGAACCAGAACUUCAAUUUCAGAAGGAGGUGACUCAGAGACUGUCUUUUGAUCUUUUGGCAUUUUUCUGUGGGUCUGCAUUAUAUACAAGUAUUCAAUAAGAAUCAGGGGGAUUAGAAAGAGGACCAAAAAACACUAAAUGCAAAAAGAAUACUUUGAAGAAUAAGACAUCUGUAUGAAAAUACAUAGGAAAUAGAUUAAACACCAUAAGAAGAACUUUACUGUGCUGUAAAUGAAGCCACUUAUACCUGCAUGCGUGUAACAAUCACCCAAAUUGGAUUCGUCAUCAGAACGUUAACUGCUCUGCAUAGAGAAAUAGCUUCGUACUUCAAAUGAGACAGUAGAGUCAAAAUAAAAAAAGAGAUUUAACAUCAUUGAAGUAUGGAUGCUUAAUUAUCUUUGGCAGCCAAAGUUUAGAAUCAAACAUCAAAACAACUAUGACUAUAGGACCUGCCAGUAAAAGAAUACACCAUCCACCAAGUAGCUCCAAUAAACAUGCAACACUAUAUAAGAGCAUGAGAUGAUAGCAUCAGUAAUGUGACCACGGAGAGCAUUCACUCAUAGCCUACACUCCAGAGAGUCAAUGUGAAAACUUUGAGAAAGAACUAAACCACCUAAGUGUUACUUAGCAUCGAAAUCAACCAUUCAAAACACUUAUGUAUAGCUUCACUAACUAAAGACACUCCGCAUUGUAACAGACCAAAAUCUAAUCAUUUACGACGAAAACUACAUAAAAAGAUUGAUGCUUUACCCGGCUAAAGCAGCCACAAGGAGUGAAGCGAACAUCCCAACGGAUCCGUCACCCAACCCUAUUUUACUUUGUUGCAGAGCUGCAGCUUCAGCUUGAUUCCGAAACACUUGGUAGAAGUAAUAGUACACACCCUAGUGAAGCAACUAACUUAGAAAACUUUCAAACAUCAAUCCACAAAAUGUCAAACAAAAUAGAGAUUCUGCAGAUACAAAAAGUGAGAGAGAGAAUGUAUAACCUGUGACGCCGCGGUUCCAGCGAGAGACGGAGCCAAUCCACCAUAUAAACGCUCCCAUCCUUCUUGUUUCACAACCUUUCAAUACAAAAAAAAAUCAGAGCUAAAAAAAAACUCUCUCUAAAACCAGCCAAAUCCUUUGAUCCUGAGAGUAACCUGGCACAUGUGUUCGAUGGUUCCAAGCUUCCUCUAGCCAGUCCAUUUAUCAAAGCGUCCGACAUGAUCCCUACCUAUCGGAAUCGCUACGAGAUCUAGAUUACCUCCGAUUCAAAUUGGAACCGUCCCCAAACAAAACUUCCGACGACGGAGGGCGGAGUCAAAACGGAUCUUAUGUAGGUUGGAAGAAACUCCCGACGACGGAGAAUCAAAGCUUCACACGCGAUCGAGUUGACGUUGAAGAAAGAACAGUG
rnacentral:lncRNA from 1 species